UUUUUUUUUUUUUUUUUUUGCAUGAGUGUCCCAUUUGCUGUUGACUUAUCUCUAAUUAUGGCCGAAUUGUCCCCAAAAAUAUUUUGCAUCAAAAUCAUACCAUGAAGUUCACGCUAAGGGCCCUGUUAUAGAGACAUUUGAGAAAGAAUCUGGUCCUACACAUAAUCAAAUUCAAAGGUAGCAUUUUGCAUGCUAAACGUUGUCUAGGAUAAGAUGGAUCAUAGUUUGAGAUUUCAAGAGUUGGAAGUCUUAGAUUUCAAUUUCUCUUCCUCCUUUUAGUUUUAGUCUUUUAGAUCCCACCCCCUUUCCUGAGUAAAAUUUAAAAAAAAAAAAAAAGGAAUGAUUUCAGAAACCUCUCCUGAGGUUUCUAAUAAUUUCACUUAGCUCUUUUAAGGUUUUAAAAAUUACACCUAUGUCCCUUGCCCAUUUAAUAUGACAAUACUAAUCUUAAUAUUUUAAUAAAACUCCAUGGUUGCCAUGUUUAUACAAAGGAUGGAUUUUAUAAUUUUUUUUCUUUUUCCUUCUUAUUCAUUUCUCUAAUAUUUCAUUAGAAUUAUAGAAGAACUAUCAAUGUUAUCCCUAAUAUCUAUCUAGAUCAAACGUUAAACGAGUAAUUUUUUUUGAUAACUUUGAAUAUCAUCCAAGUUUUAGUAGCUCUUUUUUUUUUGUAUCAAAAUGAAGAAUAAUUAAAAACAAAUGGCCCAAAAUCACUACCAAACUAUGGUAGUUCAAUCACUAAACUAGUCCAUAAACUUUUAUUUAAAAAAAUAGUCCAUAAACUUAAAAAAAAAAAUUAGCACUUUUUUCUCUAUCUUAAAAAGAAUCUAUAUCCCUAAUAAAGCACUAUAAACAAUAGCCUAUUAUACCAAAAGAUUUAUUGUCAUAGUUGAUCAUCAAUUAACUAUUGGCAUGAAAAACUUGAGACUCUUUGUCUUUUAUAAUUAAACCAAAUUACUUUACAAUUGUUUAGAAGAAUAAAUUAAACUUUAUAAGAUAACGGCGUUUUAGGGUAUUCAUUAAAAUUUUGACUCUAUUUUAAGGUUUGGUUACCAAAGUAUCAAAUCAAGGGAGGUAAAUGUAAUUUUUAAAACUUUAAGAGAACUAAAUGAAAUAGUCAAAAAUCUCAGGGGAAGUUUUUGAAAUUAUCCCCAAAAAAAUGGAUCAUGGUUCAAUAAAAAAAAAAAGGAUGGUCAUAUUUUCUAUUAAGAGGACCUGUAUUGUCUCAGGAUGGUGGAAUAAUUUUGACCCACUUGUGAUCAACGACUAAUUUAACUAUCGACUAAUUUGUCUAUGCUCGAAAUUAAUUUCAAUUAUGCCAAUUAUUUGCUAAGUUGGGUUGGAUUCAUCAAUAUUAUUAGUUUUUCAAGAGGGCGAAACCAUGUAAAUCGAAUCUAUGACAGAAUAAUUCACGGGAGAGACAACGAUUUGGAAACAAAAUAGCUCUUAAAAUCUCUUUUUAUUCUUUGUUGUCGAAUGUUCCACCGUUACUUGUUGCAUUAUGCUGGCCCUAUCCAAUAAAUUUAGUAUAUCAUCAUUUACGUGCUGUUUCACGCCCUUUGCCUGUAAUAAUUUAUAAAAGACAUUAUUAUCAUGUGGAGAUCAUAGGAGCAGGAAAUACCAAGACUAGUUAGGUACUAACACCAAAUUAUUAAGGUAACGUGAUCAUUUGAAUUGCCUUCAUGUUCUAAUGGGACACUAUGACCAAUCCUAUCAAGUGAUUUUAAUGUCUUAUCCUUCUGAUUUGCUUUUUUUUCCUAUGGCGCAAAUUGCCAUGAUAUGAAGUAGAAGGAUCUUGGAGUAAAGCCCUAAGGUAAACAACUAGAAGAGCAAGAAAAAUGCAGAUCAGAAAUGAACCAAAUAUAUCUUAGGAUGGUUUUUUUUUCCGCAACGAUAGAAUUCCUAUAGUUUAAUAUAACCGAAUCUAGCGAGAAGGGCAAGGGAGGACUGAUGUGAUAAUCUAGGGAGAGGGGGAGGGGGAGGGAGACUGAUGUGAGUAGAGACUCCAUCAAUUAAGGCCAAUUAAGGCCGCCACAUAUAGUGACAACACCACCAAGACUGACGGUGACCACCAAGCCAAAGGCCUAGUGGCAUCUUAGGAUGGCUAAAAUGGACUAUUUAAAAAUCGUAGCUGACAACUUGUACUGGAAGAUCACUAUAUAAGCCAGGCAAAUGUGUGAAAACAUGGUACAGAAAGGGAGAAAAAAAAAGAAGGAAGAAGCCUAUUAGCUGAAAAUACAGUUACAGAGAAACCGACGGGAAUUGAAUAUACGGAUGCAAGAGACACCUCCGUGAAUCUAAGAGAAGCCACAUUAAGUGGCAAUUUUUUGAUAAGAGUCAAGAUUUGAACCUUUGACCUCCAACCCUAUAAAAAACAUGUGAAGGUCAAUCAUUCUAGAAAUAGUUGGUUACAAAGGUUAUCAUAGUUGGUAAAGUGUUUCCCUUGCUAAUGCACCCUUGUAUUUGUUCUUGUGUCCCAGUUAACCUUGUUAACUUAUAAUUCACUUAAAGAUUAAAGAAAAAAGAAUGCAUUAGAUCUUUUGAGUGUCUAAUGGGCUAUAUGGCCACCUCCAAAGCAGUUGCCAUUGUUUUACUAUUAAGAGGAAAUUUGAGUUAAUUAUCUACUGAUACAAUUUUGCAUGUCUUGUGCUUGUAAGUAGACUUCUUUGUUCUAUAUAAAAUACCAGAAUGGGAGAAGGAAAACUACCUGCCAUUGCAUGACUGAAAGCUGAAAAGCAGAAAGUAGAUAAGAAUGGGAGAUAUUUCUUAAGAAUCAAGUGUACAAAGUUGUGAGCUAGACGCUAUCCAACAUGCACAUUGACAGUAUAUUAUGAAGAACAAAUCUGGAGAGAAGGGUAGUGAAGACAAAGCACCAAUAAUAAAGAGGAGGAGAAGAAGAAGGUUCAUUAUGAGAAAACUACUAGGAGCCAAAAAAGAAAAAAAGACAGAAGAUGCAGAUGAUGGCAAAUCGGAAGCUUCAUUAUGAGCUUGUCUUGAUGUAAUGGGGACCGAUAAGAAGAAAUUAAGGAUUUAAGAAUACCCAACCCACACGCCUAAUAGUUCAAAUCACCAUGGACCAUCAGAGGGGCUAGAAUUUUCUAGUGAUGAGGAAAGAAAUGACCUUUGUUGGCCUUUUCUCAAAGAGUUUGAUGAGAAUCUUAAAAAGUUUGUGUCCAAAAUAGAUUAGUAAACCAAUCAAAAUUUAGUUAGUCACCGAAGUUUGGAAGCUUCUCCUCCAUCAACUUCCAAAGUUGCCGCCACGGCACUUGCUCCUGCUAACAUAUUGUACGAUAUGGCACACCACCGCCAUAGCCCCCACCAUCCACCAUUUGUUUCUGUUUACCUCAUCAACAAUGUUGACACUAGUGAAAAUGACUAGAAGUAAAAUGGAGAACAAAAUUUUACUUGCAACCAAACUUAAAUGCAUGUGGGUUCUUGAUCAUGGGACUGAAGGGUCUACGAGUUGCCUAUUCAUUCAACCAUUUUGCUUCCCAAAUUUGACUAAACCUUACCACCUAUCAACAUAUAUAGUGGACCAUUAUGCUACUUGUAAUCAUGAACAUAUCCAUCUUAUCUAUGGUGCUUUGAUGCAAUUCACUCCUCAAACCUCAAUUGUUUCAAGGGAAUCAACUUUGUGGCCCACCAGACACUCAAUAAGUCAGUUAAUUAUCUGUGUAGUGUGGCAUCAACCACCACCAAAAAUGUGCUCCAAACCUUAGAGCAGAGUAUGAUUGUAGCUUGAUAAUGGAGGUGAAGUCUGGUCACAUGGAAUAGAGGGCUUGAUGGAGAAAUUAUUGUACUUCUUUAACCUACAUAUGUUAGUAGUAAUUAUUUAAGACUGAGAUAAUAGGAGGUGAAGUUUGUUUAUUAGUCCCUCCUCCAUACAACCAAAUAUUUAGAAUUGUUCAUACCUAGAAACUGAGAUCCAACUAGUAUAUAUCAGCAGCUCCAGAUUUGGAGAUGGCACACACUCUGUGAUUUGCUAUUGCUACAUUAAUAGGCUGAGUUUGUAUAACAGGGGUGGAUUUUCUUUUUUUACAUGUAUACGUUUGGGAGGAUUGGGAGAAAACUGUAUCAAAACAGCAGUAGACAUAAAACCAUAGAACAGCAGAGGAAAAAACAUAUUCUGCUGAGAGAUUUGUCAGCCUGCAUCACUUGCCUUCUCAUCCUCGGAGUGCUACCACCUGACAGAUGAAAUGAAUUUGGGUAUGAAUAGGCCUGUGGGUUCCCAAACAUCCUAGUAAGAACCAUUUCCCCAAGCAUCGUGACCAAUGGAUGAUACGUGUUCGGUCUCAUUGUGCCACUGGAAAACUGAGGGUAAGAUUGUGGUGGUUGUGUGUAACUUAGUCGGUGAAGCUGUGGAACUGCUCGUGAGAUAUUCGGCGUUGUGGGUAAUGGCAGCAUACUUCCACAUUUUGGGCUUGGUGGCCUUUGCGGGAUGACUAUGCCUAGUUGUCCCGCUUUUGCUUCGGAAGGCUUUGUAGCGAGUCCCCUACCAUAGAGAGGAAUUACACUUUCUUCAGAUAGUUCAGCCUUGCAGACAGGACAUUGUGGCUGUUGGAGGUUGCAAUUUUCAGAAGGCAUGCUCUGAAAAUGGAUCCAUUUGUAGAUGCAGGGCCAACAAUAGAGGUGGCCACAGAACGUGACGACAGGAUCUCGUGCGCAACCCAGGCAAAUGUUACAGUCCAAACCCCCCGAAGGAUUAUCUUCCAGCUCAUCCGGUGAAUGGGAUUUGCACUUUGUCAAUGAAAUGUCAUCUCGAUCGAAGUUGUUUUCAACUGCUGGCUCUUGGAAAUACUCCUCCAUUACUAUUUGCUUUUCUUGUCAAGUAAAAUUUUGAUACUAUUACCUUAAAACAAAAGGGCAGAAAUAAAGAUGGUUAGAUUCAACCGCUCACAACAACAAGAAGUUGCAAAUUUCUAUUAUUUCUGAUAAACUAUAUGCAUAAAUAUCUGCCAAGGUAAAAGUGUUAUUCAACAUCAAAAGCAUGAACGGGUUUGGACACUAAUUCCAUGGUUAAAGCUUCACAAUCCCACUCAUUAUGAUCUUAAUUUAUGUCCUCAUCCAAAAGGUAUCAGAAGCAGAGACUGAAAGAGGUUACCAUCCAUCAUAGGGCGUUUCAAUUUGACUGAAUUAUUUAAGUAAUCCAAUCGAACAGAACGUUGAACAAUGCUGCCAUUUAGCUAUUACAAUACAUAGCUUAUAGUAAUAAUACAAUAUUGCACAGGUUGCGUACAAGUAGCCGGUCCUGGCUGGGCAAGGGACCACUUGAAAACCAUGACCUACCAGUUCAGAAAGUAAAUAAGAAACAAUUUCCCAUUGAUAUAAUGGUAUACAUCAGCUACUCUAAUUGUUAAAUAUGCAAACCACCCAAAAUUCAAAGAAACUUCCGAUUGAACUAUAUUAUUGCUCUAAUAGCUAACCACAAUCUUCUACAAGGUUUUUUGAUAGCAGAGCCUAUCCGGUUAUCAAGAUCACCUAUUUUUCAUCCUUUCUUAGCUCUAUCAUACAAAAUAACAUAUCAGGAAGUUUCAAAAAUCAGAUUAACUACUCUUCUAUCUCUACCUUUGAAAACAUAUUUAGAUGGACAAAAAGGAGAUCACGGGUUUUUGCACUACAGGUAGGUGAGACUUUGGUUGGAAAUUAAUUUUGCGACAUAAACAUCCUAUCACGUUCUAAGAAACUUUACCACUAACCUUCUACUCAACUACCCAACUUAUUUCAUAAUAAAUAGGUGAACAAACAGUGGACAAGGAACAAUUAGCACCUCAAGGAUAAAACAGUUAAUAUCACCCACAGAAUGAAGUCCUGAACAUUGAUUGUGAAGAUUGAUAAACAUAUUUCUAGAAGAUGUUGCAAGAGCCACAACUCAAUCAACUGCUCCAUAUCAUCUUCUUUGCACCAUUUAGUCCAGAAGACUAUCCAAACUAAAGGAGUGUAAGCAAAAAAACACAUCCACUUGUGGUACAAGAGAAACUCAAUACUCAGAUAUAGGAUGUGAUUGAUUAACACAAGAUUCAAUAGUGAGAUUCAGGUAUUCAUUGUACCCAAGAGACAAUCAAGACUCUCUGAAAGAUAUAUUCUUCAAAGAUCUGGUCAAAUAAUAAAACAAACCCUUGAAAAAUAUCAAAAAGAGAAGGAUUUCUAUGGUCCUUGUUGGAAAAAAAAGGAAGAAGAACAAAAGAUAAUACUUCAUAUUGGGGGAAAAAGGGGUGGUGAACUGAAAGGCACCAUAUGCCGAAAAUGAAAACUGAAAAACCCAGAAAGAAAAUUGUUAAGGUCAUUUUUGAGGCAUAUAAGGACCGCCAAGAAAGGUACAAAUUAAGGUGCUCAGAAUUCAUCGUCAAAGCUUGGACGGUAGCAUGAUAAGGGGUCCUCUAACUUGCAGCUGGAACAUCCAUUUGGUAAAACACUGCAUCUAGAAAGUGGCACUAAAUACUAGAAGGAUUCACCCAUCUCAGUAGAGAUGGGCAAGAAUUGAGAGAUUUCGCCAUCUCUACCCCACAGAUGCAAAUUGUGGUACAAUUCAGAACUCACAAGAAGGAAUACUUCAUUAAGCACAUCAAACUCUAACAAGAUUCACCUGGAAAUCAUAAGGUGAACUGAUAAGAAUCAAAACCCCAUAGCUUUGAUCUCAAAUACACAAGACAAGAGUGUUCUCGCACAAUUUAAAUUGCGAAACAUACCCAAUUCUUCUUCCUCCCCUUUCCCCCAACACCCCCAAUACCAAGUCCAAAAAAAAGCACUCACAAUAUACAAGAAUUUCAUCAUCCAGGACUAUUCUCAUCAAUAAAGAAAACAAACGAAAUCAAGAUGUAAAUACCAAAUGCCGAAAAAAUAUUGGUACGAAACGCAGUGCUUAAAUUAUACCAAAAAUUUGAACUUCGUCUACCAAGUUUCAAGCUUUAUUCAAUGUAACCAUGAAUCAUAAUCCACCAAAAUUUGCUUUGCCCCCUGAACUCACAGAAGCCCCAUAAGCCUUAUCCAGCUACCCCAGAUAAGUACUCUAUUCCCCUUCGUUUCACCUUCUAUCACUCAAAACAAACAAAGAAAAGAUCAGAAUUUUCAAAAAACAGAUUAAGGCCAUUGCAGAAAAACUCAGAGGUUCGAAGGUCAAUACCAAUACUGAAUUGUCUUAACAGAAAGACUCAAACUUUAUCCAAAUCUCUUCAUGCAAAUAGAUAUUCAAAAGCAACCCCUUUUCUAUUUUUUGCAUACACAUACAAAACAGAGGGAUAAAGAAGAGAAGAUACAUACCAAAAGCACAAAAAAGUUGGCCUCUUGAUCGAGGAAAAACUGGCAAUUUAGUGGCUUCUUCAAUACAAAAGACCAAAGAUAUCCUAAGCUUUUAGCUAAAACAGGGGAGAGAACAGAAAUACUUUGGCAAACAGCAAAGCAAUGGUGUGCUACGAAUCUCUUUUUGCUCUGUUUUCUCUGUUAUGGUUUUGGGUUUGCAAGCUGAGGCAGAAAGGCCUAAAAUGAGGAGAUGAAGAGAAAGGUUUAAGGGGAGGGCUUUAUAUACCGAGACAAAGGGUCAGAUCCCAUUAUUUAAUGUUAAAUUGCUACUAUAUCAAGAAAUGGAGCUUUUUGUUUUCGUCCGUAUGAAAGUGGACAAAUUAAAUAAGUUGAUUUUUUCUUUUACAUUAUUUUUUAUUUUCUCUAAUAACAGGAUAAACCUUCCCACGAGACCCGCACAAAUAAUAUUCAAGAAAGCAGACUAUCCCCUCGAAAAUAAAUGUUAAACCUAAAUGGCUAAAUAUAACUAUUUGGAUAGUAAAUUAUUUGAGAUAAUUUUAUGAAAAAAUACUGUAGUAUUUUUUUAAUGUGAUGUAUGUGAGAUAAAAAAAUGAUUAAAAAAUGUGUUGAUGAUACAAACAAGUCAGUGUGUGUAAAUAAGGUAUAAAUAAUGUGCAUUCCAGACAUACUAUAAUACUAAAAAAAAGUUACUUGCUCCUCCAUAACUUGAGUUAAACCUAAAUUUAAGAUUAAAGUCAAGACUUAACUAUUAUAAUUUUUACGAUUGACCCAAAAAAAAAAGCACUUGUAAAAGCGUCUCUCGUCCCUCAAUAAUGAAUACACGUCAUAAUUCUAAACAGGUUAUAUCCCUAUAUCAACCAUUUAAGCUAGUUCUUUGAUUUCUUUUUCUUUGGUCGGUGUAUGUGGAACAGUACAAUUAGCUUUAACCACAUUUUUUCUACCACUACCAGCCUUUAAGUUAGGCAUUAAUAUUUAUCUUCAGGUAAAAUAAAUAAUCAGUUGUCUCUUGAAUUGAUCGAGAUAAUAGAGUUGGUGUCAUGCCUUCCUACCAAUUCGAGUUCGAAUCUCUCCUGAAAUGUAUGUCCGUAACACGGGGUUUGCUUAGUACGUCUCGUUCCUCUGUAUGAUCAGCGGACUAUUGCACGGAAUUGAAUUUAUUCAGUGCACACUCUCAAAUAACGACUAUCGAUUCCCUUGUUAAUAAAAUAAAUAAAUAAUUAAUUAAUUAGUGUGUGUCUGUGUGUAAAAGUGUUUUGUGACGUACAAAAGUGGAGCACUUGGCUUCUUUAUAUAAGAAGAAGAUUAGAGUCCUUCUGGAUAAACACAUAUGAUUAUAGCACACGCAAAGGGGAGGCUGUAUUUGUCUUGCUCCGUGGAAUCAGGAUGGGAGGUCAUCCCUUAUAGUCUGGCGUGGCAGCUACGGGGGAGCUUGUGUUCUACGCGUUUUUUGGCUAGGUGUGAAAUCACAAUGCAUGUCCUCAUCAACUAAAGUAUUAUCUAUCGUCUUCCCUUUCACUUUCAUUAUUUUAUUAUGUAUGGAUCUUUCCUUUGGUUCUUUUUCAGUUUUCUAGUCUAUAGUAGUUCUGUUGUUUAUAUUAUGAAUUUUCAAGUUGGUUUUAAGGAUGUAACCUUUUUCUUCUGUAAGUUAAGUGGACCAUUGUUCUAGUUUUAGUGAAGUUUAUAAGGGAAAUCCAAUUUUGUCUUAUUUCGAGUGUGGUCCCGGUAUAUCUUUCGCUUUAUUGGUCAAGAAUUUAAGCCUUAACAUAUUUAUUAGUGUAAGAAGUUAAUACUUUGUACACGUUUCAAGCCCCUUAAUCAAGACUAGUAAAAUUUUGAUUCUAGAUGUGGGAACAUCUAGAUUUGGCUUUAAUUUCCUUUUCUAGAGAGAGAGAGAGAGAGAGAGAGGAGUAUAGGAAGGUUCGAGAUGGCUAAGGAAUUUAGGAAACAAAAAAGAAAAUGAAUAGUUUUAUUUUAGAUAUUUAGGUUAGUUUUGUUGUUGUUGUUAUCGUUGUUGUUUAUUAUAGGAUCAAAAACAAUUCGAACUCAUGUAAAAUGUGAUCUCUCAUUCAUAAGGGUUUUUUCUUAAACAGUGUUCAAAAGACACUGAUUGAUAUACCUAUAUCACACCUAACUUAUCAUGUAAAUGUACACACUAACAAUUAUUAUUAUUCUCCCUUUUAUAUAUAUAUAUAUUAAUUGACUUUAUUUUUUAAAAAUUUUGAAACAUAAUAUAACGAAUGUCCCAUGAAAACAAUAAAAAAGUUAGACGGAUAUAAAGGCCUAGUUAAAUGCUUGACAACGUGUCCCUUGGAGGAAUAACUGUUUGAUACCUGUACUAUGUAUAAGUGGAAGAGAUCAAUGAAAAGUUAAGCACCACAAAAAGCAAAAUCGGUGAAACAUCACCAUAACUUGUAGGAGGUCAUUAAAUUAAAGGAUUAAUUUUCUAUACACUGAAAGUGUAUAUAUUUUCAUCAUUAGAUAUAUGAUACGUAAUUCGAAUUUGAAUUUGAAACUCAAAUUUUACAUAUAUAUAUCGUAUAUUCAAUUGUAAUAGUAUAUACAAUGUCAGUGUAUAUAAAAUUCACUCUAAAUUAAAUACUCUAAAAAGCAGCAUUGACUCUUGUGGAAAAAUGAUGGAUUGAAAGGUUAAGCACCACACAAACAAAAGUAGUUAAGUAUUACCAUAACUCGUAAUUUGUAACUAAAUUACAUGCUCUAAACUGCAUGUUAAAUUAGUUCCACAGCAUAAGGGGACAAUACUGUAUGAAAAAGUCUUUUUUUUUUUUUUGGUAAUAGAAGAGGAAUGAGAUUUAAGAAGCGAGGAGGAAGAAUAAGCAUUCAGAUUCAUGACCUCAAGUUUUGAUAUUUAAACUUUAAGCACCAUAACAAGACCUCUUCGGUAGGUUAAAUCAGUUACGUACAUGUAUAGCUGUAUUUCGUCUUAAUUAGUCGGAAAUAUUCUCCUCCUAUUAAUACAUAUCUAUAAUUUUGGUCUAAGUGCUUGAUAAUUCAAACGUUUUGCCUUAUAAAGUGGGUUCAAUAAGUACCCCCAUAAAGUAAUCAACGACGUGAAAGAUGAAACAUGAUGUUUAAAGUUAAACUGUUGGCGGUGGUUUUACCUAAUUUUUUUUUUUUUUUUUUUGGCAUCUAGGCAAAAUGGAUAAGAACGCACUAACUGUAGAUUAGGUGGCUAGUCAUAGUACAGUGAAAUGCACGAUAAUUGUGCGCUAAUUUAAAUUUUGUCUGUUGGGAGGUACGCUAUAAAAUCAAAUUUCAUCCUUUUAACGUUUAAUGCAAGAGCUUAGACAAAUAUUCAUGGUUCAUAACAGUCCUAACUUAGACUUGCAACUUUUCACUUAUAUAAAAUCAAAAUGGACCCCUUCAUUAAUUUUCGCUUAGGAACUGAUUUACUUAGUUUAACUACACGAGUUUGGUUUUGUUUAACAUCCAUGUGACCUCUUUAUGAUUUGUAUAAAUAUCCAUUUUAUCUCUCUGUGAUUUUUGCAUGAAUAAAUUCAUGCAAUCUCCUUAUGUUUUUAUACGAGGUGGGUAAACCGUCAAUUGAUUUAGCAUUUAAAUAAGAAUACUAUUAGUAUUUCAACUAACGGUGGAGUACAUAGGUUAUUUUCCAUCAAAUUUUCACUUUUCAUAAAAUUAUAGAGGGUGAAGUGGAUAUUUUGAAACGUUAAAAAGAUCAUAUAAUAAUAGAUAAAACCACCACGGGGGAUUAUAUGUAAUUUACCCCUAAAAAGUAAUGCUCCACCUAGUUUACCAAGUGACACACUUUUCUUCUGCUGCGAUAAAAGCGUGAGACAAAGAGAUAAACCAGGAGCAUCAUCAUCUUUUGCACUUCUCUAGAAAAGUCCACCUAAUUAAACUAUUGGCAGUUGUCAUUUGUUAAUUAACAGAAGUUGAUGUUUUACAUCUAUAAUUAAUUAUAUACGUAAUCAAACGAGUUAACCGGAAAAAUCUAAGUCGUAUUCCUUUUUCAGCAGUACAUAUUUUUUUGUUUGGCUAAUUUUGUCAAACAUGAAUUAAAAAAAAGGGUAAACAUAGAGCAUUAGAAGCAUCCGUUUGUUUAAAAGAAGUUAACAAGUUAUAAUACACACCAAUAGCUCAAUAACCAAAUGAUCCAUAUGCUAAUGUUAAUAAUUCCUUUAUCUCUUAAUCUUGAUUAGGAUAGCUUUUGAUUUUUUUUUCUUUUUUUUUUUUUAAAAAAUAUAAAUGACUGAGUCAUGAUUUAAGAAAACGCUAAAUUCGCAUCCCUCCGUCCUAAAAUGAAAAUCACUUCAUAUAUAUACGAUUGAAUAAUAAUGGUAUAAAAUAAUAAAGGGUAUGCAUCAAAAGUGCAAAUUUAACGUGAAAGGUAUGAAUUCAGCCAAUUCCAAGCACUUAUAUUGAUAAAAAUCUAUGUCACUUUCCCUUAACCCUUUAAGGGUUUUCUCGUGCUUUGAAAAGUUCAUAUACUUCGUGAACCUUUUGAAUCAAGACCAGAAACACAAUUUGGUUUUUAAAUAAUCUUGAUGUCAUCAAGAUUAAGAAAUAAACAAAAAAAAAAAAAACUUAAAAUGGCGCGUGAACUCCCAGCGCAUUUUGGUCAAAUUAUGAACCAUGACACGCAACUUUUCAUCUGAGUCCCUUUGUUGAAUUUCCUAGUUUUUGACAAUAAAAAUGGCCACUGCGUAAAAUGCUAAUUUUGACGGACCCUUCAACGGGGUAGAAAAUAACGUUUACCGGGAACAGUACGGUCAAAACGAAUCCAUAACAAUUUCAGCCACAAAAAUCUAAAAUAGUGUACCAAAAAAUCUGUUAAAAUUGAAAGGACUUUGCAUAUUCAGUCUUGAUCAGCAGUUGAAAAUCUGCUAUUCAAUUUAUAGGGAGUUUAGUCGCGGGGCUUAUUUUGUCAACAUCUUGUGCUGAAGUUCAUGAGGGUUGAUCAGCCAAUUCGUCCAAUUUUUGGACCAAAAUUCUUAGUCCAUUUAUGUACUAUUGUACCUCUGUUUUUCUCAAUCAUUCAUUCUGUAGUUAGUUUGAGAAUAUUUUAUUCCUAGUCAAAAUUCUUCUUCGCCGGUUCAUCUAAUUCUUCAAUCACUAGAUAUCUUUAAUUCUUUUGACUGUUCAUACUUUUUCUUUGGUUGAUUACUAGUCAAUAUAUUUGAAUCUUGGGAUAGCAUCCAGUUCAUAACGAUUCUUAUUGAAUGGAAGUUUUCGUUUUUUUUUUAUUUAUAAAAUAGAAGGAAGAAGGAAAUGGGAAAGGAGAACCGGAAAAUUCAAAUGAAACAGAAGGUCUUAGCAGUCGUUUGUAAUCAUUAAUUUACUUUUACAGAAAAGGAACUUAGAAAAUUGUAGACUUGUAGAAAUAUUCUAGAUUCAAUUUGAAUUGUUACUGCAGACUUGUAAAACCAUUCUAGAUUCAAGUAAAAUUUUCUUGAUUCUCAAGCGAAGGAUAGGAUACUACGAGUUUUGCCUUUGCAAUUUGGAAGCAUAUUAAUACAAAAAAAAAAGAAAAUAAAUCUUAUAUACACCGACAGUGUACACACUAUCAUGAUCACAUGCACGAUACAUAUGCAAAAUUUGAAUUUCAAAUUCAAACUUGGAUUAUAUGCUAUGCAUCUAAUGUUGAAAGAGUAUACACUGUCAGUGUAUAUGAAAAAUUAAUCCAAAAAAAAAAAAAGCAAGCUGCUUUGUAUUAUCAAUAUACGCAAUGAAUAAAGUAGAGUGUAAAUCUUAAUUUAAGAACAUAUUUAAACUCAAGUGGAUCAUACUCUUUAAAAAAUCUUGAGCCACUUUAAUGCAUCAAUUUUGUCGAAAACAACGGGAAAGUCGGCAACUUUUCGAUAAGUGCAACCCUUUAUUAAACGUAAAAAUACAAAGUUUCUAACCGUCCUAUCAGAGAAGUAGUUAAAAUAUAUGAUAUAAUCCACAAGAACUGGUAAACGUUGAAUGAUGAAGGUGGGGACACGGGACGGCGGUGCAAGGCGGCUUAUUUGCAGAACCCGGUAACCUCCCUGCCUCGCCCAGCCCCUAAUUAUUUAUUCCUCCAUCAUUUCUCUUUCCAAACAGACAUGAAAAUGGUUAAAAACUCCCUCUUUUUCCUCCUUAUAUACUAUCCAAGAUAAUGAUGAAGAUGAAGAAUAACAUGUAGAGUAGUGUGGAUUUAUAUAGGAUGGCUUCCUAAUAUAUCUCCCAAUUCCAAUAUAAGAAGACGAGUUAUUUAAUUUCCUUCUUUUUUUUUUUUAUGAAACACCAUGCAUGAGAACAGAAAAUAGAUAAUUGAUCCUAACACUAGAAGAUGGCCCUUUUGGAUGAUAAAUAUCUUGGCUACUGACAUAUUCACCACAAAUCAACCUUGGUGUCAUGCAGCCGGAGAUGGAAGCUGCAGCCUUUCAAUUUGACGUGAUGAUAUUUCACUUUGAUACAAGAAACCUAAAGUUGUUUUGCUAAAAAUAGAUAAACAAAAAAAUGGCUUUAUUAUAUCUGUUAUCUAACUAUAAUUCGUUUUGGCCGAUCACCUCACGAAUUGGCAAAUAAAUUAAGAGAAAUGUUAUUCGCGCUCCAUUUUUUCUUAUUUGUAUUUUCAUAAUUUGUUUUAUUAUAUGAUGUAAUAAAUGAAAACUGUAUAAUUGAAAUGAGAGUGGGAUUGUGAUUAACAAAAAUGAGAGUACAAAUAACAUUUCUCUGAAUUCAAAUGUGAACUAAUAAUAUUAGCUUUUGUUGCCUUGAAGACCAUUACUCAAACCAUUUUUCGUGCUGCUAUUAUAUUUCAAAUAAAAAGGCUACAAGCCUACAUGACCUUACGCAUGGAUUUGACUUUAGGUGAUAAUGAAGAGGAUGCAUGAGCGAGCAAGCAAAGAAAUGGAGAUAAGGUAUUCCGUCAUUAGUUUACCAGCUAAUAUCCAAUGUAACAGUUGAGCAAAUCCUGACCUGAACCAAGACUUCUCUGCUUCUGACUUCCCUCAUUUAAAUACUGCCCGGAAUGUCUCACUUGCAGUCUGCCCCAUCCUUAGAACUUUUGCUCAAGUUACAAGCAGAUAGCAUCAUUUGACUCUGCCAAAUUUUAUUAUUAGCUCUUAAAGGCAUUCUUUUUUUUUUUUUUGAGUACAAAAAAUUAUUACUUUUGUACCGUAUAAUUUAGGUUGUUAAUAACUCAUAAAAUAUGGAAAGUACAGAUUAUGAAUUGCUUUACAUGUUCUGAUGUUUUGUUACAAAUUAAAGUAAAUAAGGGCGCAAUCUUUUUCCAUGAUAAAAUUACAUGCAUGAGUUAUAGCAAAGGUAACUGUAAUUUUCAGCUUUCCGGGAUCAUAAAUUGCAAAUUGCAUGAAUCCUAACAUCUCAAUGCUGCAAUCCCCCAUUAUUAUUUCGACAGUACAAGAUCAACAUGUGAUUUAGUUGACAUUGACGGGUCUAUUGAUGUUCUCAACGCCAGCUUCGAUAUGUUGGGCACUUCAAUCCUCAGCACUUUCAUCCGCCAAAGACAGGAGGGGCCAGUGGCCAUCGGCUGCUGAUAAAAUCAUGUCUGAUGAGGACAAAAGUCUGUGCUUAUCAUCAGAUGAAAAGGGUUCAGCAAUUACCUAAAAACCAAAAAGUGGAGUCGUUUUGUUUCUCUAAUUGUCUAGCCACAGAACCAUCUAAUCUUAUUCACGUUGGCUGACAGUCAUAUCUAUUCCGUAGACUUGGUAUUCAUGAAAUGUCUUAUAUUCACAAAUGGAACUCUUACGCAUGCAACGUCCUUGCGCAUUAAAAAAGGACCCUGAAAUGCCAAUAGAGAAUUGUAUCUCCAUCUUCUAAGGCACGAUACAAUGUUUAUUUUCACCCCGUAAUAGAAAAUCGAAAAAGAGAAAGCAGAAAAGUGUCAAGAAAGAAAAAAAAAUACUACAACUUAGAUAUGUUUUCAUGUGUCAUAAUGUGCUUCCAAAAUCAUGUUUUAGCAUUUGAAAAGCACAUUUCUAGAAAGUAGAUAGUAUUUGCCCACAGGAAUUAGAACAAGGGGCUGCCUAGGUAUAUUACAAAGCAACAAAGUUGAUACGAAAAGUACUAAGAACACAUAUAUACUCCCUCCGUCCCGUUUUGUUAGUCUUGAUUUUUUUUUUUUCACACAGAUUAAGAAAGUGUAAUUAAUUUGGUUGGAAACAUAAAUUUAGAUUAAUAAUUUCCUAAAAUACCCUUAUGCUAAUCACGAAGAGUGCCAAUUAAUAUCAGUUACAGCUAAUGGGUUAGUAUUGGAAAAAUUCAAUGUAUUCAAUGUAGUGGGUUAGUAUAUAAUAACAAUGUAUUAAUAACAAGAUAUUUAAUAAGGGUAUUUUAGACAAUUUGAAAGAUUACUACAUUUCUUAAUGGAAAAGUGGACUACAAUUUGGGACAGACGAAAAAGGAAAACAAGACUAUCAAAGUGGAAUAAAGUUAAACCAUGUUUUGAUAAAGUUAAACCAUGUUACUGUAGUAUAUAGUAUUUGUCCUUGAACUAAGCAACAAAAGUCUAUGUCCGUGGCAACAAGAAAAGUUAAAGAAGAAAGAGAGCAUAUGGUUAUGGGAAAAUGGGCAAUGGCAAGGGCAUAGGGAAUUGAGAAUUUGCUAUUCUUUUCUUUUCUUUUCUUUUUCAAGAAUGGGGAAAGGACUAAAGAGGCUUUGGUGCAUAAUUUAUUUGUUAACAAACCGGCUGCCGAUAGUUAAAAAAUUAGUUUAGCUGACCCAUGAAACAAGGGGUGUCCAUCCAUGAGUGUAUGUUUAGUCAAUCUCCAGGUGGAAUUCAAUAAAAAAAAAAUCAGAAACUUUGAAUCUUAAACUAUGAGUGGAAAUAAAAAAUUGAAAAAGCUGUUUCUGAUAUCUUCACACCUUGCUCCUGUUGGGUGCAUGCAAAUUUUAACAGCAGUGAUAAAUUUAUUAGCUGAUGCGAAACUCAACUAAUUAACAGGGUUCUCGUUUUCAUGUAAAAAUGAUGAUCAGUUUGGGCCAAAUUUGGUUUUUGAUUUUACCCAAUUGAAAUUUUUUCCUUUUUAUAAAGAAAAAAACAAAUUUUCUCUGCAAUUUCAAUCUCCAUCAGCAAGGAAUUAUCAUUCUUUUCUAGUGUACAAAGAAGCAUGAAAAGAUUACCAAUGGAAAUGACAGUGUGCACGUUUUUACACUCUAUUCUUGGCUUUUACUCUUUAACACGGCCCAUUAUGGUGUAUCCUCUUCAACUCUUGAAUCUAGUAUCAUAUGCUACUAAACUCUUGUGACAUCUGCUACCUCCAUUAUUUGAAAAACGAAUUGUGCAUCUGUUUUCUAGUGUACAAGAAAGUAUAACGUCCUUUCAAAAGAUACCAAAUCCAAAUGGUGAUAUGCAUAUGCUCACAAUCUAUAUAUUCUUGGCUUUACUUUUGAACAUGGUCCUACAUAUGUGGAAUAUUUUCUACUGAAUUCUUUACACAUGUAUAUAUAUGCUGCUGAAUUCGUGCGACAUUUGCAAUCAUGAAUAUAUGCUAAUGCCGGAAUAGGAUCGAAGGACAUCUAUACUUGGGUAGAGGUAAGGUGUCAAAUGGUAUCCAAGCCAGAUUUUAUUGGUCAUCAAAAAGUAAAAAAACCAAAUGGUAAGCAUAUACUGGGAGUCAUCUAUGGCAUAAGGUGUAGUGAGUAUAUAGCUAGGUAUCAUUAAGUAAUUUAUUCAAUUAAAAUAAACUAAGUUGAUCUAUUAAUUCUCCUAAAAAUAAAAACGAAGUUUGAUGUUGUAUUAACUCAUUUUGUGUAUUACAUUAAUUGUAUGCAACAAAUCCCUAGCUGUUUUGUAAACCCUGUAAUUGGUGCAGCAAAACAUUCAAACCUCACGUCCAGCGAUUAUUUGAUUGGGAUAAUUAGAUUAUGAUGAUAAAUUCUUGGAUUCAAUUCUAUGCAAUAUGUACUGCGUACAAUUUUGUGACUCACAGAGAAGUGAAAACCCCAUAAUCCAUAGCAACCACAUAGAUGCUUAUAAUUCAAGAGCAUCGUAUAGAUGCUUAUAUUAAGUACUUUUCUUCGGAGGGCUCUUCAAUAACCUAUGUAGUUCUUUGACAUCAAUAGCUUGCAACCUAUGUAGUGAUAGACUCCACUAUUACCCCAUCCAGAAAAAGUUGAAAAUUAAAAUUAAGUGGUGAAAUAAUUAGCUAUUCUAAUUACUUCCACAGAGUACAUAUGUUGGAUCAAUUUUUUUUUUUUCAGAAACAAAAGAAAAAUGUCCACAAAUUCGACAGAAAUUCAUCUUAAAUGUAGGCAAGAAAUUGAGGUUUCUUUCGCUUAAGUUGAAUUUUCUUGGAUAAGUGUUCAAGUUUUGUGUCUCCUUAUAUACGUCCUUAUGCCUAUCCUAAAUUAGUUAGUGAAAGUUAAUGGAAUCUAUGUGAAUUUGCACGAGGAGCCCGCUGAAAGUGAAAGGGCUAAUGAACCUUUAUUUUCUUUGGAUGAAACCAAGUCAAAUGGACUAGAGUUUUGAUGCUUUUUGCAAGCAUCGAUUAAUGUGACAAAGACACAAUAUUCUUUUGAGGUGUAAAUAAAUUUUUGAUGGAUUAAUGCAGCACCCAUUCUUUUCUUCUUUUUGAGUUGGUUGUCAGUUCAGACUUGGUAUUUUCGACCUCACAACAGAUUGAAAGAGUCCAAAAGUACCUCUUGUAGUCAUUAAUUUGAUGCAUAUGAAGAAACUGUGUGAUGGAUAUGCUUUCGCCUAAUUAAUCUGCUUGAAAUUAGAUUUUUGAACUAGUCAACAGAAAAUAAAUCACCGUUAUGUCUGGUGAAUAUAAAACAGCGAUUUUAAUUAUACGAAAAAACUGGAUCACAAAUUCAUGAUUUGGGCACUAAUUCUUUCUUUCUUACUUUUUUUUUAGUGAAGAAAAGCAAACAGGAAAAGGUAUACCACCAAACAGACAUAUCAUGCUCAUUCUUGGGUGAAAAAAAGGAAUUACAAUGACCUUGAACUUGGUGCAAAUGCGUGUAGAAGCCUAUUUCUUGUGCUGAUUGUUACUAUUCCAUGUACUUCUGCUGAAAAUUUGCCGACCAUUUUCUUGUGCGUUGGAGAACUAGGAAGAAUUGAAAAGUUUGACGAACAAUUAAUUAAUUUGCCAUACACAGUGCUUUAGACUUCAGCUAAAAGGUGAAUACCAAUUUGUGGUUGAAAUGCAUGAUUACUCAAUAGCUAUCUUUUCAAGAAUUCAAGUACAUUGGUCGUGCUAGGGUCGGGUUGGGGCGCCGGAUCCGGGUCGCAGGAAAUUAAUCGGGCCCCGUAAGGAUUGACCCGGACACCCCUGUGUUGAAAAAAAAAAAAAAAAAAAGUACAUUGGUCCUUUUGUUUUUUUUUUUUUCCCUUGCGAGGAACAAAUGCUUCACAAUCGGCCCCUUAAUUACGCGAUCUUGGAUGAAGAAUUUUGGUGUAAUGCAUCGUUUUCUUAGACAAGUUGGAUGAUAACAAACUCAGUCAUUGCCAACUCUUGAUUUAGUCAUAAGCCGAAGGUAUUGCUAAAACAUACCAAUAACUAUUUUUGGGCGUAGAAUCCUUUAUUUCACUUCUCAUGCAAAUUUCCAUUUCAGUGCUUAGUAUUACAAGUGUCAGCUCACAAUAUAAUUAUGUUGACACGUCCAAAUCCACCCCACUAAUAAAAAAUAAGUAAUUAGGUAUAUCAUAUUCAUUUUUUUAUAUGAGUACAAAUAGAUUAAUUUAUUUUGACCCAUUUAUUAAAUGGGUUAAUUUGAUUAAACCUAUUAUUUAAUUAUGAACCAUCCAAAUUCGUUCAUAUCAUCCAUUUUGACACUUAUACUCAACAUUACUAUAUCGAGGCGAGAUGUGUCAGGAAUAUACGAAAAUUUUUAUAUAGGAUGUCACUCGUUUGAAAUUGAGGUCCAUAACUCAUGAAUAAAUAUCACCAAGUAAAUUGCGAAUAUUUAAUUCAAAUAUUCAUGUCAAUCCUUGACAAGAUCGAUCGAUUCAUAAAUUUCAUGUUGAUUGACACUAUAAAAUUUAUCGAAAAGAAAUAAAAUGCGAAUGCACAUGUUAAUUUCUUUAUUCUUGAAUCAGUCAUUGAUGCAAUAUUUUGAGACCUAUCUCCAUAUUUUCCAAUCUCCAUUACUUCUACAUAAGUAAACAUCUUCGAUAUGAACUUGAGGUAGAAAGCUCUUUGAAGUUGCGAACGUUGAAAUUUUCCAAUGAUUUGUGACGCUAGUAUGAUGCAGAACUUGGUAAUUGCUUGGAAUGAUAGCGAGCCAUGGACGAACCUGCCCUCUUACUUCUAUGGGGAUAACAACAGAUCCACCAAAUCGCCAAUCAUUUAUUCAACCUUCAAACAUUAGUUUGAAUUUCUAUUCUUCACUGAAUAUUGAGCCAGCAUAUUGCUGACUAGUAUUUUUUUUGUUACUUAAAUCAAUUUUCUAUGCUUACAUUUUUUUUAGGUAUAUAGUUCGUGAGUAUCAAAUAAGUCAUCACUAAAAUCUAUUUUCAUCAACCACGAUAUAGUUUGAAUACUCGUAGCCAGAUAUUGUUGUUUAUACCAAACGGUUCAAACAUUAUUUGUUAAAAAAAAAUUUUCUGCAUGAUAUUUGAGUGGAAAAAAAGCAGCUAGGGUAAAUAUUUAAAUCAAAAUGUCGAAUCAACUACUACAAUUUUGUCCUUUUAUUUGAUCUUUUCUUAUGCCACCAAUUCAAAUAAAAUAAUAACAGCUUUGACUUUUCAAGAAAUGAUAAAUGAUUAAUCAACUAACCUACCCUCCUUUGUUUUCCGGUACGAAUUAGCCUAUAACUUAAGUAGGACCCUACUUAGAAAAUGUUAUACUUAUAUAUACCACGCUAUACAGACGUACCUAUUUUAUUGAUUACAGCUAAGAUUAAGAUAAUUUUAAUCGGCAAAUGAUGUCAAAGAGCAAUUGGGAUGUUGAUUCAGGGAGAUAAAUUAUUUGUACAAUCCAAAAAAGAUAGAACAAAAGGGAUCUCACGGAGCUAAUUGUUGUUUAGUUGCUAGUAAUCUUCCUGUGUGAACCAUAGAAAGUUCAGUGGCAGCCGCUAAUGGAACCUAAAAAAGAAUUACGUUUUAGAUAAUGUCCUCAAUUAUUUUUAAUUGUUGAUUCAUAUCAUAAUUAAAAGCCUGUUUGAUCAGAAUUCUGAUACUGUGGCACAUGUCACUAAUGGCGAAUUAUGUACAUCGUAGUUUAUGUUCCCAAGCAACAUGGUCCACCGACUUGCAAGAAUCCAAGACUCUUUCACCUCUGAUUUGUAUUGAUUAAUUACUGAUCUUUUGCCGAAACGGAAAUAAACACAUACACACACAACUAAUUAAACCACACACAGGAGUAAAUGAAAAAUCGGUCCGAAAAUAAUCUAAGGAGAAUCUACAAAGAACCAUUGUUCAGCCAAUUGAUGAUAGAAUAGAGUCCCUGUGAACCUUAAAUUCAUAGUGAAGACUCCCAUGAUCUUUCGACGUGGGAUAGGAAGUCUUUAACCCCUCCCGUACACACCCUCACCAGCGAAUGGGUGCAUGAUUAUGACACUCAAAAUGAUUAAUGUAACUUUGAACAAUUUCUAGCAAUUUCUGUUGUCCGAAAGGCAAAUUUUGGUGCAGGUCUUUUUAUGGAAGCCGCCCCACUAGUUAAGAGUCCUAAGCACACAAGCAAACAAACUAUCUAGUCAAACUGCACAAUGGCCAUUAAUUCUUUCUUGAUCUAUCUAUUAUUCCAAAUAAACAAACAUGUUAUAUAAGGCAUUUGGAGUGAGAUCUCACUACAGUACUAAGCAAGAGUGAAUUUUUUUUACUGAGAAGAGAUUUGAAAUGAACAGUUAAUGUCUCAAUAAUUUACAAGUUAUUAGGUUUAGCAUUCAAUUCCUGUAUCGAACAGUUGGGAGUGGAAAGGAUGCUGGGAGGGGUGGGAAGUCAAACAAAACAAAAGUUAAGAAAAAAGUUGUUUAACUGACCCCCAAAAAAAUAUUUGCAAGUUGUUUUCAACUUGGACUAAUCUUCUUUUGACCAUGGAAGAGAAUGUGGUAUAUUUCGCCUCGUUUGACUAAUAAAUAUUUUAAAUGAUUGGUUGGUGUUCCCAGUUUUUUUUCACACUAGGCCAAAUUAUGCAUACAUUGAACAAAUUGAUUUAAUUCAAACAUGGAGUACUAGGAUAUGAUCCACAGACACGGUGUUUAAGAAGCUCAAUAUUCGUUUGUAAUUCCAACAUGCCCUAAUUAAAAGUGUUUGAAAAACAUAUUGUAAACUUUGUUUCCAUUUUUUUUUAAAAUUUAACUGGUUUUGAACAUAAAUCAUAAAAUCUAAACAACCAAGAAUAUCUUUUAGUCAACCCCAGUAAUUAUCUCAUGAGAGAGAUGGUAAAUUAUACACUGAAUCAUGGACCAUGUCCAUGUUAUCAUUUUACUUUUUCUAAGCAUUUUAAACUUAAUUAAUCUUUCCCUCAACAUGCAGAUUAGGUUAAGUAAUUUCAUAGUGAAUCAUUUAAUUGGGACAUUUCUUAGUGCCAAAAGAAAAAAAACAUGGUAAAUAUGCCAAGUUGUGACUUGUGAGUCUAAAGACCGGAAUGGGAUAAUUCCCUGCAAUCUUAAUAUAUUAGUUACUACACCAUCAAAUCCAUUGACUAGAUUAACUGUUUGAUGAGUAAUUGACUAAUGAAUUGAAACAAUGAUAGCUAAGCAAUUUCAUAUUUUUGGAUAACAAGGUUUGGGUACUAGUACACUAUUCAUUUCAGAAAACGGCGAACUUAUGCUUGCUAUUUUUUAAACUAUUAGAUCUUUUUUUGGUGUUCGUUUAGAUGUUGACAAGUCUUAUGAGAUGAAUGUUCACAUCCUUAAGGCUUCAAAGUCUUUCUUGACCAUUAUUUUCAUCUUGUUUACCGGCAUAUAUUGGAGACUCUAUUACAAAAUUGUCACCAAUAAUAUGGCAAUCUGUCUCUCUAGAGUAAAGCAUGCAAGUAAAAUUGAAGCCACAAAGAUUCAAAUUGGAAACCAUGCAAUUCACGUAAUGAAACCCUUUGCAACGUUUGCUUGAAGCUUCUCAAUCAUUCGGCAGAUGGUUAAUGAUUGUGCAAAUAAAAAUGUUGCAAGAAAUUUCAACUUUUUAUGUACCAAAAGGGGAUGAAAAAUAAUCGAUUCCUUCAAAACAAACAGUUACAAAAAAAACCCACCAAAAAAAGAAAUGUCAAUAUAUAUAGUAACAAAACAAUCAAGCCAUGGGCAUAUCUUUACAAACAAGUCAUAGGUUUGUCGCAUUACGCUGCCUUGACUCGAUCAAUACGUACCCAGACUGAGAACAGGUUUAUGUUGGAAACACAGAAGCCACUCUGAACUUUCAGCAAUUUUGUGCUUAUCCAAUGAAAACCAAAACAUAAUUAGGUUCGAAUUGAUGCAGAAGGAAUUAUGGUAGUAAACGAACUUUUUUCUACGGGCAAAUUCUUGAUAACGUACUUAGACGUCAAAACAUGACGUAUUAGUUUUCAAAUAUUAAUUAAAACCACUCUUCCUUGCAUGUUCUUUUAGAAGGCUAAGUCAACAUCCUUAUUAACAAGUUUAAGGAACACUUAAGAAAGCAAUGUCCUUAGGCGUUAAAAAAACAGACCCUGAAACGGCAGAAAAGUGUCGAAAAAAUUAAACAACACUGACAACCUGGAUCUGUUUCCAUGCGUCAUAUAUAUAUGUUCAGUAUAGCUUGUAAUGUGCUUCCAAAAUUAUGUUGUGGCAUUUUAAAAACACAUUUCUAUAAAUUAUUUAUCCGCAGGAAUUAGAACCAACAGGCUGAUUAGGCAAUAAUAUACUAUAAAGUUGCGUUGAUGGUUUCGCCUGCCACAUACUAAAAGUACUAAGAGUACAUAUACAUUUUGUUUUGAUAAUAAACCCUUGAAUCUAGAAAUAUCUGCUGCUGAAUUCGUGUGACAUUUGCAAUCUCAAUUAUUCGCUUGGUCCUUCAUUUUUGACACUGAGAAGGGAAAAUUGACUUCUUCCUUUAACUGAUGUUACAGGUUGAAUGUUAGGCUAUAUAUAAUGAUAGUAUCCUGUACCUGAAUCGAGAAUUGAAGGACAUAGAGUUCGGUAAAUGGUGACCAAAUGGUAUCCAAGGCAGAAAUUAUGGGUGAAAAAGGUAUUAGAACGAAAUGAUUCCCAUUUAUACUGGGAGGCAUCUCUGGAUAUAAGUAUUCUUCUAAAAUUCUGAAAGGGAAAUGGAAUUAUCCUAAGUUCUAAUAUGCUAAUUUAUAAUCGACCCAACACGCUGUCUGUAAGACGAUGUAGUAAAUGCAUACGUAUCAUCCCAUGACUCUCUUUUUGUUUGAUCUCUCUAAGGUUUUUUUUAAAGAGAGUUUCAUCUUUUCGAGGUUCUUUAUUGUAUUAACACUUGAUAGACUCCACUAUUACCCCUUCUAGAAAAAGUUGAAAAUUAAAAUUAAGUAGCUAUUCUUAGUUCUUCCGCAGAUUAGAUAGAUAUGUUGCAUCACUUUUUUUUUUCAGAAACAAGAGAGAAAAGUAAUCCACAAAUUCUGCAGAUCUUAAAUGUGGGCUUGAAAUUGAAGUUUCUUUUUCUUGGAUAAGUGUUGAAGAUUAGUGUCUCCUUAAUUACAUAUAUGAACAUGGAGUAAAGGAAGGUUCCAUGCACCUUUUUUUGACGAUUAUGGCUAUCAUUGAUUCAGAACCAAAAUUAGUUAAUGAAAUUUAAUGGGGUCUACGUGUGUUUGCACGAUGAGCCCGCUGAAAGUGAAAGGGCUAAUGAAUCUUUAUUUUCUUUGGUAGAGAACAAAUCGAAUGGAGUGGAGUUUUGAUGCUUUUUUCAAGCAUCAAUUAUUGCCACAAAGGCAGAAUAUUUUUUUUUUUAGGUGUAAAUAAAUUGUUGAUGCAUUAAUGUACCCAUUCUUUUUCUUCUUUUUUAGUUGGUUGUCGGUUCACAGUUGAUAUUUUCAACCUCACAACAGGUUGAAAGAGUCUUAAAAGUGUCUUGCAGUCAUUAAUUUGAAGCAUAUAUAGAAGAAGUUGUGUGAUGGAUAUGGUUUCGCAUAAUUGAUUUGAUUGGAAUUAAAUUUGAACUAGUCAAGAGUUAAUAUAUCAUCUUUAUGUCUGGCGAAUAUGGGACAACUAUUUUAUACAAAAAAAAAAAGGAUCACUAAUUCAUGAUUUGGACAGUAAUUCUUUUUUGAUUAUUUUCUAGGGAAGAAAAGGGUACAGAAAAAAAAAUAUAUACCACCAAACAAAAAAAAAAUCAUGGUCAUUCUUGGGUAAAAAAAAAAAAAAGGAAUUACAAUAACCUUGGACUAGGGGCACAUACAUUUGGGUAGAUGCCUAUUGCUUGUCUUGAAUAUUGUUAUUUCUGCAGAAAAUUUUCCAACCAUUUAAACUAGACCCUUAUCCAAAUUCAUUGGGGAUACUUGCAUUGGAGAACUAGAAAGGAUUGAAAAGUUUGAUGAACAAUUAAUUAAUUAAUUUGCUUUACACAAGGCUUUAGGCUUCAGCUAAAAACUGAAUCCCACUGAAGUUUGUAGUCGAAAUGCUUGAAUUUUCAACUGCUAUCUUCUUUUCUACCAAAAAAAAAAAAAGAAAAGAAAAAGUCAGUGGCUAUCUUUUAAAGAAUUCAUAUAACUACAUUGCGUGCGGUCCUUAUAAGUGUGUGUAUAGAUAUAUGUAUUUUCUCGCAAGGACCAAAUGCUUCAUAAUCGGUCCCUUACAUGACCUUGGGACAAGAAUUUCAGUGUCAUGCAUCAUUUUCAUAGACAAGCUGGAUGGUAAUAUGAUAACAAACUCCAUUCAUUGCCAACUUUUGAUUCUAGUCACAAGCCCCCACGUAUUAGUCAAAAAUACCAAUCACUAUUUUUUUCUACAUGAAAUCUUUUAUUUCACUUCUUACACAAAUUUCCAUCCCAGUACUCUAUAUUGUCUCACCACAGGUAAUUCAUUAGCCUUACCAUAGCGAGGUAUGCUAGGAACACAAGAAGAUCGUUAGGUUUAGGUAGAGCUACACUCAUUUGAAGUUCGACCCACUCAUCAAUUUUCAUGGAAAUUCAGAACACAUAAUUCAUUGAAAAGAAAUAAAAUGCAAACAAUCUUGUUAAUUUCUUUAUUCUUGAAUCUGUCGACGUAUCUCCAUCAUAUAAUAUCUAGAUACAUCUAGAUGAGUAAACAUCUUUGAUAUCAAUUGACAACCAAUAUUAACCUAAUUGAUAAGACGCAUCACAGGAAGUGAUAAAUGCUCUUUCAAGUUGCGAAACGUUGAAAUCUUCCAUCAAGUUGUGACGCUUGUAACAUGCAAAAUUUGAUAGCGAACCAUGUGAGAAGGAUGAGAACAGACCUACCAACUUGCCAAUCAUUUAAUCAAACUUCAAACAUAGCUUGAAUUUCUGUUCUUUAUUAACUAUUGAUUCAGCAUAUUGCUGACUACUAUCAUCUUUUUUAUGGAGGGAUCAUUUUCUGCUUACUCUUUUAAGUGUAUAAUGAGUAUCAAAUAAGUUAUCAGCAAAAUCUAUUUUCGUCUAGCACGAGAUGGUUUAAAUAUUCACAGCCAGAAAUUGAUGUUGUACCAAGACAAGAGAAUAAUGAAAUAAUAACCAUGAUUAAGAUCUUGAAUGCAAACGAAUUUGAAGCUUUGUAUGUUAUUUCUUUUGAUUUAUUUUUAAACUUAAUCCAGUGAUAUAUAGUCAUUAAUUAGAAUUAACAUACAAAAAUAAUAAUAAUAAACCAUUCUUUAUCAUCAAUCUCAUCUUGGUUAGUAAAAUGUCACGUUAGCAUAAACAGCUGGGCUAAUAGUUUUUACCUACUCCCUUGCAUGAUGUUUGAGUGGUGCAGAAGCAGCUAGGGUAAGGAUCAAAAUCAAGAGGUCGAAUCAACUGUUACAAGUUUGCCCUUUUAUGCGUUCUUUUUCCACUAAUACGUACAAAUGAUGAGAUAAAUUAAUAACAGCUUGACCUUUCACAUAGAAUUAAUCAACUAACCUAUGCUCUUUUUUUUUUAUUUUUUUUGGGUACGGAUUUGCCUAUAAUUUAAGUAGGACCCUACUUCGAAAUUAUUUAUUGCAGCCAAGAUGAAGAUGAUUUUAAUUGGCAAAUGAUGUCAAAGAGCAGUUGGGAUGUUGCAAAGUCUCCCUAAAAAGAUCAGAUCUUUUUGAAGAUAUGAAACUUUCUCCUUGAGUUGCGGAGCUAACGAUUCUGCGGGAAAGUAGAAUUUGCAACUUUUACAGGAAUCUGAAAGUGGCUGUGAUUGAUCGAGUGAUUGCAGUUGAAGAUGGGAUUGUAUGUGUUUAUGGAUUGAAUGAAAUUCAAGCUGGAGAAAUGAUUGAAUUUGCCAGCGGGGUGAAAGGUUGAUUCAAGGAGAUGGUUGUUGUCUAGUUGUUUGGUGAUCUUUCAGUCUAAACCAUAGAAAGUUCAGUAGCAACCACUAGGGGAAUCUAAAAAUGAAUUAGGUUCUAGAUGCUGUCCUCAAUUGAUUUUUAAUUCUUUAUUUAUUUCUUAACUAAAAGCUUGUUUGGGAACUCUGUCACUAAUGGCGGAUUAUGGUCUCGGAGGUGUAUGCCUUGAUCCAUGAUAACGAUUGAAAUUAAACCCAUUCAAACUUUUAUUUACAAAAAAAAAAUAAUAAAAAUAAUGGCGAAUUAUGUGCAUCAAAUUUUAUGUUCACAAACAACACCAUCCACCAACUUACAAGAAACACAAGCCUUUUUCAUCUCCAAUUUGUAUUCAUUAAGUACUGAUUUUGGUACAUGAUUAUGACACCCAAAAGAAAAAGUGUAACUUCGAACAAUUUUUAGCAAUUUUUAUUGUCCGAAAGGCAAAUUUUGGUGCAGCUCUUUGACGGAAGCCGCCCCACUAAAUGAGAGUACUAAGCACUCAAGACUUCAGGUUAUCUCACCUCCAAUCAAACUACACAAUGUCCAUUCUUUCUUGAUCUAAUCUAUUAUUCCAAAAAAAAAAAAAAAUUUGUUAUAUAAGCUACUGGAGGGAGAUCUCACUACAGUAAUAACCAGGAGUGAUAAAUAGGACUUCUGUGCAUGGAAAAAAUUUUUGGAAAAUUUAAAAAAAAAAAAAACUAAAGAACUUUAACUCUAUAAUUCAAGUAAUUUUCUGAUACAGAGAAGAGAUUUGAAAUGAAAAGUUAAUAAUGUCUCAAUGAUUUACAAGUUGUUUUCACCUUGAACCAAGAUUUUGUUUUUAUGACAAAUAAUUGCUAGCAUUCAUCAUAUUGAGGUAAUCUAUUUUUGACCAUGGAAGAGAAUAAUGUAAUUUAUUUCACCUCGUUUAGCUAACAAGUAUCAGUUGGUGUUCCCAUCUUUCUUCCUAAAAGGGCCAAAUUUUCUAUUUUGCGGGUGAUUUUUUUCCCUCUGUGUGUGUCAUAUUAUGAAUUAAAAAAAUGUGUAGUCUUUUCCCUAGUCAACAAUGUGUGAACACAUUGUAAACUUUGUUUCCAUUAUUUUUGUAAUUUAACGUGUUUUGAACAUAAAUCAUAAAAUCUAAGAAUUAUGUUUAAACGUUAUUACCUACGAAUCAAAUGGUAAUUAACAACACGCAGAAUCAAAGAGAUGGUAAUUAGCAUUUUAAACUUAAUUAAUCUUUCCCUCAACGUGCAGGUUAGGCUAAGCAAUCUCAUAGUGAAUGAAUCAUUUAAUUGGGACAUUUCUUAGUGCCAAAAGAAAAAAAAAAACCAUGAAAAAUAUGCCAAGUUGUGACUUGUGAGUCUAAAGACCGGAAUGGGGUAAUUCCUUGAAGGACUACUACUCUUAAUAUAUUUAUUAGUCAAUAUAUGACAUCAAAUUCAUUGACUAGAUUAACUACUUAAUUAAGUAAUUGACUAACGAAUUAAAACUAUAUGACAUCUAAGCGAUUUCAUAUUUUUGGGCGCUGGUACACCAUUCAUUUCAUGAAGUUCACAAUUCUUCAUUUUUUUUGGGUCUCUGUUUAGAUAUUGACAAAUCUUGUGAGAUGAAUGCUCACAAUCUGAGCCCUUCAAAAUCUUUCUUGCUUACCUAUGUUAGGAACUCUAUUACAUAAUUGUCUCGAAUAAAUAUGGCUAUCUGUCUUUAUAGAGUAAGCGUGUCGGUAAAAUUGAAGCCAAAAUAUAAGUAGCAAAAAGAUUGAAGCUGGAAAUUAUAUAUGCAUUUCACGUAAUGAAAGCCUUUGCAUCAUUUGCUUCUGAGUCAUUUGGCAGAAGGUUGAUGAUUAUAUAUGCAAAUAAAAAUGGGCAAGAAGUUCCAGCUUUCUAGGUACCAAAAUAUCAUGAAAAAUAAUAGAUUCAUUCAAAACAAUCAGUUACAAACAAAACCCACAAAAGAAAAGGAAAAAAAAAAAAAAAAGAGCUAACAAAUACAUUUUUAAAUCACAGAAAUUACUCUGAAACUUCGACAAUUUUGUACUUAUCUAAUGAAAACGAAAACAUAACUAGGUUCAAAUUGAUGUAGAAGGAUUUAUAGUAGUAAACAAACUUAUUCUUCAUGCAAAUUAAUGAUAAAUCUUGAUAAUGUACUUUGACUUCGAAACAUCACGACAUUGGACAUGAUUCUUGAAAAGAUUAUCUUUUCUACUUCUGACAUUAUGCCAUCUUUAGGAUUUUUACACUUUUUUUGGAUUUAAAUUUUAUUUUUUUAAAAAAAAUAACUGCUGACCUCCAUCUUAAGGAACACCCGCUGAGUACUUGUUAGACAAACCCAUGUAAAAAUCAGGAAUCAACUCAUAAAUUUUAGUCUAUCUGAUAUUUUACUGGUGUGACAAAUGUGCCACAGACUAUUACUUCAGGGUACUUAAGUGUCAAAGUCAAUAGUUUAGGGUACAAAUAGAAAAGCCAUACUAUUUUAUGGGUGCAAAUUGCAAUUAAUUCUCAUUUUCUUAAUCCAAUCAUACUGUCGGAUAGGUCAUCCUACUCCGAGAUUUUUGCCACUAAGAUAAUUAAUUAAAAUGCAUAAUUCCUAUCAUAAAUUUCAUUGAAGGCGUGAAGGGCAAUUGGAAUGUCACUUCAAGAAAAUAUUGCAUAUGAAAUGCAAAAGGGCAAUUGGAAUGUCAUUUUCCUAUAUAUAUUUUUCACGGAAACUUGAGUGGAAGCUACUAAUGGAAUCUAUUAGAAUUCUAGACCGGUAAGAAUGUUGAAUCAUUUAUUAAUUCCGGAUUAGUUUCUUAAUCUGGCUAUAGUUAAUUAAUAGUAGAGUGACAAGUGUUCCGUGACCAUGAGUUCAUAUUCUACCAUACAUAACCCACCAACCUGCAAUAACAUAAGAUCUAGUUUUCACAUCUAGUUUUCACUUUUCACUAAUUAAUGAUUUUACAAGUUAAAAGAAAAGUAGCCAAAGGGAUAGUUUAACUUCUCCAUGGUCGAAAAGGCAAUUUUUUGAGUAAGUGUUGUAUGUUGUGAUAGGUACAGACUAAUUACUUUAGAUUUUGCAAAUCUUGGAAGCGCCCCACUAAUUAUUGGUCCUAAGCAUGCAAGAGAGGGUAUAGCCAAAUGCUGUUGAGUUGAUGUGAAAUUGAUCCGUGCCAAUAAGAUAGCACAUGAAUUAACUUUUCACGCUAAAUCUUCACAUCUUGUGGAAUCCCUAUGGAAUUUCUCCCUCAACUUUGUUGAGUAAUUUAGUGUUGGACGAUUUUCAACAAUUUAGUUAAUAACAUUUUCUUUUUUUUUUGUAUAAAAAUAAACUUGUGUCAAAGUUUUCUUAUUAUGCCAAAUCAAAAUAACUCAUAUGUAAACUAUUGAGUGUGAGGAGUUGUUAGAAGUUGAGCAAGGUUUGAAAUGACUAAUUAUCUCCGUUCUUCCUUUCAAUCGCUCAAUCGGGUUGUACCCUAGAGAAUUAUAGGGGUUUUACACUUUUUUUUUUCUCCAAUUUGGAGGUUGACUAAAAAUAAUCCUAUAGGUUGCUAUACAGAAUAGUUAUUCAACUUAUUUGAUGAGACUUAGCCGUCGUAAAUAAUUCAAGUUCUUUAAUGGUGUAGGUUCGUUGUCUUUUAUUUUAACUCAGAACUUCUUGUAUCUCGCCAAAAUCUUCAACGUAGAUUAGUGCAAAAUCACUACUACAAAGGGUGCUGCUGGGGAGAGGGGAGCAGGGGGAGUUUUGAUAUAAACUGGUCAAAAGUUUUAUUUAUUUCUUUUUGACGUAAUACAUAAGUCAGGAGCCUAAGUUGUCGGGUCAAUGCUGAAGUCCAUUUGUGCUCUAAAAUCAAUGGAAAGUUGCAGAAAAAAAGUAUGCUGUAUGGGAAAAAUGGAUGCAACUUGGAAUGGUUAUUCAAUUUAAAACUAUUUUCUACAAUAUAAAGGAGGUUAUUAAAAUCAUUGCAUCACAACAACCAAAAAAAACGGGGGAGAAGGAAUAUUAUGAAAUGAUGAUAAUCCAAGGAAGAUAUCUGGAUUAAAGUCUUCCAUUGAAACCGAAAAACUAAUUUACAAAAAAUAAUUGAUGGACUGGUUUCCGGUCACCUUUUCCAGGCCCUAUAUUAGAGCCCAACGAAAUGCGUCCAUAAUUUAAUUGAUUCAGGUGUCAAAAGUCCAACUCAAUUUCAUUUCUCUAGCCCUUCACUAACCCAAUAAACCGGCCCAAUAUUUAGUUUUUCUCUAAAAUGCCCAUGGGUUUAUAAAAAUUGCAAUAUCACCCGCAAACUUUGCUGUCCAUGGCGAUGGCCAGACCCUUCAUCUUCAAAGCCUGUCUCCUUUCCGCCGAAACUCCGAACCUCUUGAAGAAGAAUCGCAUGGACCCGAAGCCCUUUUCAGAAAAAGACCAGUUUUUUUCAGCAAAAGCCGAAAAGGUCACCACCAAUGGUGCAGCGAACAUAAGCCUUCAAGAAUGGCAGGGCUGGGGCGCCAUCUCACCUGUACCUGCCAUGGUUAUUGAAGUCAUUCAGGACUUGAAGCUUCUGGAGAAAGAUAUUGGAGCUCAUUUGGAUUUUGGUGGCAAUCAUGGCAAACUCCAAGUAAGAACAAUUUUCUCUUUCUUUAUUGAUUAAUCCCCCAACUCUCCUCCAAGAACAGUGGAAAAAAGAAAAGAAUUGAACUACCAAAAGUAAGAAUAUUCUGUGUAAUAUGUGUUUAAAUUAGAUGAUGAGAUGCAUAAAGUUUUUAACUUUUUAUUUGACUGUUUUCUUGAUAGACAAAUUGAUGGGUGAUGACUUGUUUAGAAGCUUUACUGAUUUUACCUUGGGAUUUUUGUAUUUUGUUUAUUAUUUAUUUAUUUAUUAUUAUUAUUAUUAUUAUUGGUUUCUGAAGGGCUGAAAACAUCAACUGUGAUCAAUUGAUGUUAUGUUAAGGAAAUUGUAAGUGGUAAUGUGAAUGUAAACAUGAGAAUAGAAUUGUCAUGUUUACUACUACAUGCAACAGGUUCGAGGCUAUGUUUGGCUUUCAGCUCAUGUGACCUGUUGGAUGGUCAUAGGUAUCUUAUUUGAUCAAUGCAAAGCGUUGUGCAUUAAAAAUCAAUCAUGGUAUUAAUGGAUGAGAUUUUGAUUCAGGUGAUGCUUUUGUUGGUCGAAGGUAUUAAUAUGAUCUGUGCAUGACGUCAUCCAGAAUUUUUUGUGUGUAAUUUAUCACUCUGAAACUGAACUGUCUUGUUAGGCAUGUUGCUUUUACUGCUUCCUGUAGAUUAUUUAUGUAAAAUGCCUCUUUCUAGGACUCUCUUAUGUUAAUACAGACGAUGAUUGCUCAUUUAUGACACGUACUAACAAGCACAUGAAACAGGUGGUUUACUUUUACGGCUGCCACUAGAUUAACAAUUUUAACAUUUCCUUAGAUUGGUUAUGGAAAUUAGCGAGGCCAUACAAUCAUUUUCUGUAGAGUUUGUUGAUAUAUAUCCCUUAAUGUGAAGUUUCUAACGGAGUACUGAAAUUAGUGAGUACCAACUGUCCAGUUCAGUUUUGAAUGUCCUCAGAUGAGUACAUAUGUAUUUAAUUGAUAAGAGCUCCUAGUAUGCAAGUCACUUGGAAGGUGAUACCAAUGUAGACAGUUAAGUAAUCAAAUAUUCCCAAGAUUGGAUGUAGAGAUCAGAUGUAGUUCAAGUAUAUACUGGUCUGAGAUAACCUUUAGACAGGGUAUUGCUAGAGUCUUGCAUUCUAUUAUAGAUUCAGGGGUGCUUUUAGGUGGUUAAACUAUUGAAGUAAAUGAAAGUGUGUUUUACCAUGUCUUUUAUUUGUUUUUUGUUAAAUGUAUUCCCCUUUUCACUAUGCAGAAUGAUAGCCUUCUCUUCUCUAUCAGUCUCUCUCUCUAUCUCAUUUUCUGUGUGUGUUUGCAAUAUUUUUGGAUGUGUACUUAAUGACAUAGAUAGCAACCGUCAUAUCACAAUGUUUCUAUGGUAAGGAGUUACAAUUAGGUUUUGUAUUGUUUAUGUUGUUUGCUCUAUUUGAUAUUUCUUUUUUUCUGUCAUUUUCAGUGGUUAAUCAAUACUUUUUCUGCUGAAUAAUGUUGUACAUAUUGUAGCUGCUGUGGAGUGAUUAUAUAAUUUAACAGAAUGGUUUGUUAAUUUAGCUGAUAAUCCAUUUGGAAAUUGAAAAAUGUAACGACAAUAAGGGAACAAGUUCAUGACCUGCUAGAUUCUAUCCCACAUCGACGCUAUCAGUGCCUCCAAUUCAGUAUACAAAGUUCAUUUCCUUAUCCCACGAUCGCCGAGCUCAGUAACGUGGGCUUUCACCCAAGUGGGGGGCAAGGGCAUGGACUCGGUUGCUGGCAGCACAAAAAAAUUCCACAUUCCACAUUCCACGAUUUUAAAAAAAAAAUCAAUGAAUUAAAAAAAGGUUGCAGCAACUGGGACCAUUCCCUUUUCUUCAUUUUUCGUCUUUAAGCCACAAAUAAACUACAGAAAUUUAGCUAGCUAGAUUUGCAAUGUUUUUGUAUGUGUACAUAAUCCCAUAGAUAGCAAGCGUCAUAUCAAAAUGUUUAUAUCGUAAGGGGUUACGAUUAGGUUUCUUAAUGUUUAUAUUGUCUGCUCUGUUUGAUAUUUCUUUUUUCUAUCAUUUUCAGUAGUUAAUCAAUACUCUUUCUAUUGAAUAAUAUUGUACAUGUUCUAGCUGCUGUGGAGUGAUUGUCUAACUUAACAGAAUGGUUUGUUAAUUUAGUUGAUAAUCCUUUUUGGAAAUUGAAAAAUGUAAUGACAAUAACGGAAGUAGUUCAUGACUUGCUAGAUUCUAUCCCACAUCGACAUCAUCAGUGGCUCCCAUUUGGUAUAUAAAGUUCAUUUCCUUAUCCUACGAAUGCUAGGCUCGGUAAUGUGGGUUUGUACCCCAAGUGGUGGCAUUAAGGGUAUGGAAUCAGUUGCUUGCAACCCAAAAAAAUUCCACAUUCCACUAUCUAAAAAAUAGACAUGAAUGAAUUCAAAAAUGUUGCAGCUGGUUGGACCAUUACCUUUUCUUCAUUUUUGCUGUUUAAGGCACAAUGAAACUGUAGAAAUUUAGCUAGCUAGCAUUUGCAAUAUUUUUGUAUGUGUUCAUAAUCCUGUAGAUAGCAAGCAGGUUCAUUUUUCCUGUUUAAGGCGCUAUGAAACUAUAGAAAUUUUGCUAGCUAGUGUUUGCAAUAUUUUGUUAUGUAUGCAUAAUCCCAUAGAUAGUAAGCAGGUGUCAUAUCACAAUGUUUAUAUGGUAAGGGGUUACGAUUGGGUUUCUUAUUGCACAUGUUGCCUGCUCUGCUUGAUAUUUCUUUUUUUCUGUCAUUUUCAGUGGUUAAUCAAUCCUUUUUCUGCAGAAUAAUGUUGUACAUAUUGUAGCUGCUGUGGUGUGAUUAUAUAAUUUAGCAGAAUGGUUUGUUAAUUUAGCUGAUAAUCCUUUUUGGAAAUUGAAAAAUGUAACAACAAUAAGGGAACUUGUUCAUGACGUGCUAGAUUCUAUCCCACAUCGACACUAUCAGUGCCUCCAAUUCAGUAUAUAAAUUUCAUUUCCUUAUCCCACGAUCGCCGAGCUCGGUAACGUGGGCUUUCACCCAAGUGGGGGGCAGGGGCAUGGUCUCGGUUGCUGGCAGCACAAAAAAUUCCACAUUCCACAUUCCACGAUCUAAAAAAUAAAAAUCAAUGAAUUAAAAAAAAACAUUGCAGCAACUGGGACCAUUCCCUUUUCUUCAUUUUUCCUGUGUAAGCCACCAAUAAACUAUAGAAAUUUAGCUAGCUAGCGUUUGAAAUAUUUUUGUAGGUGUGCAUAAUCCCAUAGAUAGCAAGCGUCAUAUCAAAAUGUUUAUAUGGUAAGGGGUUACGAUUAGGUUUCUUGUUGUUUAUAUUGUCUGCUCUGUUUGAUAUUUCUUUUUUCUAUCAUUUUUAGUGGUUAAUCAAUACUUUUUCUGUUGAAUAAUGUUGUAUGUGUUGUAGCUGCUGUGGGGUGAUUGUCUAACUUAAUAGAAUGGUUUGUUAAUUCAGCUGAUAAUCCUUUUCGGAAAUUGAAAAAUGUAAUGACAAUAACGGAAGUAGUUCAUGACUUGCUAGAUUCUAUCCCACAUCGACAUCAUCAGUGGCUCCAAUUUGGUAUAUAAAGUUCAUUUCCUUAUCCUACGAAUGCUAGGCUCGGUAAUGUGGGUUUGUACCCCAAGUGGGGGCAUUAAGGGUAUGGAAUCAAUUGCUUGCAACCCAAAAAAAUUCCACAUUCCACUAUCUGAAAAAUAGAAAUGAAUGAAUUCAAAAAUGUUGCAGCUGGUUGGACCAUUACCUCCUUCAUUUUUGCUGUUUAAGGCACAAUGAAACUGUAGAAAUUUAGCUAGCUAGCGUUUGCAAUGUUUUUGUAUGUGUACAUAAUCCCAUAGAUAGCAAGCAGGUUCAUUUUUCCUAUUUAAGCCUAUUUAAGCCACAAGGAAACUACAGAAAUUUGGCUAGCUAGUGUUUGCAAUAUUUUUGUAUGUAUACAUAAUCCCAUAGAUAGUAAGCAGGCGUCAUAUCACAAUGUUUAUAAGGUAAAGGGUUAUGAUUAGGUUUCUUAUUGUUUAUGUUGUCUGCUUUGUUUGAUAUUUCUUUUUUUUCUGUCAUAUUCGGUGGUUAAUCAAUACUUUUUCUGCUGAAUAAUGUUGUACAUAUUGUAGCUGCUGUGGAGUGAUUAUAUAAUUUACCAGAAUGGUUUGUUAAUUUAGCUGAUAAUCCAUUUUGGAAAUUGAAAAAUGUAACGACAAUAAGGGAACUAGUUCAUGACCUGCUAGAUUCUAUCCCACAUCGACGCAACCAGUGCCUCCAAUUCAGUAUAUAAAGUUCAUUUCCUUAUCCCACGAUCGCCGAGCUCGGCAAUGUGAGCUUUCACCCAAGUGGGGGGCAAGGGCAUGGACUCAGUUGCUGGCAGCCCAAAAAAAUUCCACAUUCGACGUUCCACGAUUUAAAAAAUAAAAAUCAAUGAAUUAAAAAAACGUUGCAGCAACUGGGACCAUUCCCUUUUCUUCAUUUUUCCUGUUUAAGCCACAAUUAAACUAUAGAAAUUUAGCUAGCUUGCGCUUGCAAUAUUUUUGUAUGUGUACAUAAUCCUAUAGAUAGCAAGAGUCAUAUCACAAUGUUUAUAUGGUAAGGGGUUACAAUUAGGUUUCUUAUUGUUUGUAUUGUCUGCUCUGUCUGAUAUUUCUUUUUUUAAUCAUUUUCAGUAGUUAAUCAAUACUUUUUCUGUUGAAUAAUGUUGUACGUGUUGUAGCUGCUGUGGAGUGAUUGUCUAACUUGACAGAAUGGUUUGUUAAUUUAGCUGAUAAUCCUUUUUCGAAAUUAAAAAAUGUAAUGACAAUAACGGAAGUGGUUCAUGACUUGCUAGAUUCUAUCCCACAUCGGCAUCAUCAGUGGCUCCAAUUUGGUAUUUAAAGUUCAUUUCCUUAUCCUUCAAUCGCCGGGCUCAGUAACGUGGGCUUGUCACCUGAGUGGGGGCAUUAAGGGUAUGGAAUCAGUUGCUUGCAACCCAAAAAAAUUCCACAUUCCACUAUCGAAAAAUAGAAAUGAAUGAAUUCAAAAAUGUUGCGGCAACUGGGACCAUUCCCUUUUCUUCAUUUUUCCUGUUUAAGCCAGAAUGAAACUAUAGAAAUUUAGCUAGCUAGCGUUUGCAAUAUUUUUGUACGUGCUCAUAGUCCAAUAGAUAGCAAGCAGGUUCAUUUUUCCUGUUUAAGCUACAAUGAAACUAUAGAAAUUUAGCUAGCUAGUGUUUGCAAUAUUUUGGUAUGUAUGCAUAAUCCCAUAGAUAGUAAGCAGGUGUCAUAUCACAAUGUUUAUAUGGUAAGGGGUUACGAUUGGGUUCUUAUUGCACAUGUUGUCUGCUCUGCUUGAUAUUUCUUUUUUUCUGUCAUUUUCAGUGGAAUCAACACUUUUUUUGUUGAAUAAUAUUGUCAUAUUGUAGCUGCUGUGGAGUGAUUAUAUAAUUUACCAGAAUGGUUUGUUAAUUUAGCUGAUAAUCCUUUUUGGAAAUUGAAAAAUGUGACAACAAUUAGGGAACUAGUUCAUGACUUGCUAGAUUCUAUCCCACAUCAACGCUAUCAGUGCCUCCAAUUCAGUAUAUAAAGUUCAUUUCCUUAUCCCAUGAUCGCCGAGCUCGAUAACGUGGGCUUUCACCCAAGUGGGGGGCAAGGGCAUGGACUUGGUUGCUGGCAGCCCAAAAAAAUUCCACAUUCCACUAUGUAAAAAAUAGAAACGAUGAAUUAAAAAAAUGUUGCCGCAACUGGGACCAUUCCCUUUUCUUCGUUUUUCCUGUUUAAGCAUAAAAAAAACUAUAGAAAUUUAGCUAGCUGGCAUUUGCAAUAUUUUUGUAUGUGUACAUGAUCACAUAGAUAGCAAGCCGGUGUCAUAUCACAAUGUUUAUAUGGUAUGGGGUUGCGAUUAGGUUUCUUAUUGUUUGUGUUGUCUGCUCUGUUUGAUAUUUAUUGAUUUUUUCUAUCAUUUUAAGUGGUUAAUCAAUACUUUUUCUGUUGAAUAAUGUUGUAUGUACAUGUUGUAGCUGCUGUGAAGUGAUUAUCUAAUCUAACAGAAUGGUUGUUAAUUUAGCUGAUAAUCCUUUUUGGAAAUUGAAAAAUGUAAUGACAAUAACAGAAGCAAUUCAUGACCUGCUAGAUUCUAUCCCAUAUCGACAUUAUCAAUGCCUCCAAUUCAGUAUAUAAAAUUCAUUUCCUUAACCUACGAUCGCCGGGCUUGGUAAUGUGGGCUUGUCACCUGAGUGGGGGCAUUAAGGGUAUGGAAUCAGUUGCUUGCAACCCAAAAAACUCCACAUUCCACUAUCUAAAAAAUAGAAAUGAAUAAAUCAAAAAUUGUUGCAGCAACUGGGACCAUUCCCUUUUCCUCAUUUUUCCUUUUUAAGUCUCAAAGAAGCUAUUGAAAUUUAGCUAGCUAGCUGAGAAGUGUUUUGGGAAAUCCUAGCUCCAUUCUGUUGUUUUAAUUGCUAUUAGGGGCAAUCCCCUAAUUUGUUUCUUUCUGAUCCUAGUGGUUGAUAUGCUCAUCUUCAGGGAGAUUUUAAAGUGCAAGAGGAUAAAAAGCAUAGGGCAAAGUUUCAAUCUUUAGGAAAUUCUGAGAAGAAGCUCCAAUUCUUUUCAGCUCGUCAAAUAGCAUGCCGCUUACUCGGUAGUAGAGGAUAUCUCUGUCAGAAGGUACAUCUGUUAUUUCUUUUUUCUCAUAGUGAUGGUAAGUUGGAGAACCAACUAUUGUCUCGGUGUUCCUUCCCAUAACCCGUAAAUUGUCUCUGCAUUUCAUCUGUGCUCAGUUGCAAAUUCAGUCUUUUCCUGUCUGUCUAAUUGCUUAGUGCUGGCUUCCCAUGGAAGAUUGCAUGUGUUCAAGACUUCUGCCUUUUCCCCUUUGGCAUCGGAUACGUUUUUGGUUGUAUAUGCAUCCAAAGGUUCAUGUUCUUCUCGUUUUCAUUUUCUUUCCCUAGUUACAUAUAUGCAUUACAUGAGGAUCAGCUAAGGACUUUAUUGUUCUUCUGUAGGAUUUUUUACGACAGAACAACACGGGAAAGUUGUUAUGUCAAGUGUUUGGCACCCAUGCUGCAACUUUGUGUCUCUUUGGCAUUUCUGAACUUGAAGAAAUCAUGUGGAGUGCAUUGAACUUUUCAGGUUAAAUCAUGGUUUAAUUGGUAAUAUUUUGAAGAUGCAUCUCCUCGUCUUUGAUUCACUAUGUUGUACUAGCAUUAGAUCUGUAAGGCAUGAGUGUCAAAGCCAUGACUAUUUAAAUGCACAAUGGUCUUUGUAGUUCAUUUUUUGACUUCGUAGUUUGCUCUACAUGUUCGACUUCCUACUGCAAACACUUCACAUUGUUGAAACUGCUUGAUUUCUUCUGCAUGCAACUGACAAUCUCUGAAAACUUUCUUUUCCCAAUAAUUAUUGUAAGGCUCACCUUUGUUUACAAUCAUAAUAGACCUUGUAUUUUCUGAUUCCACUCCCUUGAGCCUCAAUUAAUUUUUACCUCCUUAAAAAAAUAAAUUAGCAAAGAGUUUGUGGCAAAAUUUGUUGCUAUAAAAGUUUGACAGCUAAAGUUGCUUUGUGAAAAACCUAUAGGAAUAAUCAACUAAGUGGAGCCUCAGAUGAGCAACAGAAAGAGGAACAGAUUAUUAAUUAAAUAAUUUAUUAUGCAUGCCUACUGGGUAGUAUACAACUCUGGGAUAUUUGAGGGAAAAUUGGAAUUCCAUCCUUUUUUUUUAACUCAAUUAACUUGAGAAGUUGAGUCUAAUUAACUCGUAUAGAUCACGCAGCUGAUUGUAACAAAUUGAGUUUGAGAAGGUAUGCACAGUAUUCUGAUGGAACAUCGGUUACUUUCUCUGUAAUCUGAGAUACCAUUUCCCAAUUUGAAAGGAUUACAUCCUUACUUCUGCAGAAGGGAAUAUAUAUUUAGUGAUAAUUGGGAUUCAUUUCGUAUAAAACUAACUGGUUGAAUUUGAUCUCUUUAACGUAAUUGAAUAAGGUGUAAAAGACGGAGAUCUGGAGAUGAAAUCUUGCUACAAUUAAAAUUGUUAUGCCAUGUUUUUGACUUUCUAAUAUAACCUAGAAUUACGUCAAAGCUAUGUGGGACUAAGGUCUUGGCCAAUUUAAUGGAUUAUUUAGGUAUGAGAAAUAGACUUAGCUAAAACAACUACAGUAUAUGAAAUAGCCUAUUAUGCUGUUUUUCGCAUUAUUAUUUGUUAUGAAUAAUGCCAGUUUUUGAGGUUAAUGCAUAUCCAUGUUUAGUUUCAUGUUCAUUUGCUACUUUAAGACUUUAAAGUUUAUGCCUGUGAGUUUCUGAAGUGCGUUGUGUAUUCUUCAGGGAGAAGAAAUGUUUGGUGUCUCUACCCUAAUAAGAAUGCUAUGCCGAUGUCUGUUCAGGACACAUUCAUUCAAAAUUCCUCCAGGGAUCAUCAGUCUGAACAGAAUUCGGUAAUCCUUCUCUAGUCGCAUGAAUACAGAAUAAGAGUGAAUUUCUUGUAUUUUUUUUGGUUGUCAAAUCUUGAUUGGUUCAAAACAUAGUAGAACCUUCAUUAAGUUUGCGAUCUACUAAUUAACAAAUUAAGUUUGUGAUCUUUAGUUUUAAGAUUGCAUUUAACAUGGUAUGUUCUUCUUCUCCACAAAAUGCAUCAAAAAAAAAAACAAAUUGAAAUGAUUUUCAGCUCAAGUCUCAGGCUUAAGGUUGAUUGAUUAAGCCUCUGGACAAAAAAAUCAUUUCUCAUAUUCCUCAUAUGAAACAUGUUAUCCUUGUUCUCAAUCAUUUCCUGCUUUAAAAAAAAAUUAAUUUAUGAGUUUUGUAUCAUUGUAAUUUUUUUUUUCUGGUCCUUUGCUGAUUUGAUGCACAUAAAUAGAAAUUUGGUGCUGAACAAAAAUUGUUCUAGCUGACUGUGCAAGUUGGAAUGUGAAAGUUUUAUGUGACUCUAGGUUUGGAACUGCAUAGGUGCAUGAAGUACAGUAUUGUGUAAUUAGUUGGUUACAUUAGCUCAUUGAAGCAAUUUAAACUUUUGGAGAGGAGAAUAAAUUGAUUUAUCUUAAGAAAUUUGAUGUUGAUGAACAAAAGAUGAUUUUACAGUAAAUGGUGGUCUACUUCAUGAAUACUACAUGUUAUUCAAUUUAACUGUUUACUAUACUUGCAACCUUGAAUUCAACUGAAUAUUUUCAUGAAAUUUUCUGAAGCUACAGAAGUGCUCAAUAUCAAGAAUCUUCGAACCGAGUACAUUUUUUAGAGUCCUUGUCGGUAAAUGUUCUGUUUGUUUAGGAUAUACCUAUCGUAAGUGUCACAUGAGAUAAUAACAUCAUAAACUUAAGAAAAUAUGCUCAAGUUAUAUCAGAAAAUUAUAACAUUAUAAGAGAAGGCGACAUCUUGACACAAUGCUCUGUAAUAGUGUACUGUUUUGGCAUUGUAAACAGUUAUUUGAUUUAGGCUCUGAAGUUUUCAAUUGUAGUUAUCCCAUAGAGUUAGUAAAAAUUUUACAUGAUGAUAGGAAGGGAACUCCCGAGAACUCAUAUGUAUAUUUACUGGGUUCUUCCCUACUUUUGAAUUAUAUUAAAGCUUACCAUUUCCCCAAAAAAAAGUUAUGUGAUUUAAACUCUCGCAAAUGGAUUAUGGAUGCCUAUCUUUUUGAGGUUUUACGCAUCUUUGGUCAUAGGGAGGAGAUGGAGAGGAUUAAUUGAGUGCUACAUUCUGUUUCUGUUGGAUUAGCACGAAAUUUAGAUAUAAAGAAGCAUGAAUAUCAUUCAGGGCUGACGUCCUCAAAUUUGUCGAAUUAGUUGAGCCGACAGAAUUAAGUAAUGCAGUAUAUGUGCAAGAUAUUCAGAUUUCCACAUUGGAGCUUGGUAUUUGAUCAGUCCCCUAAUUUUAGUUCAUGGUUUAAUUCCAAAAGAUUCAAUUUUCUAUUCCUCAAAAAAUGGAGUGUCAAGCCCUGACUAGUUUGGGUGGACAAAAGUGGAUUGGUAAGUUGAAGAUUCUACUUAUAUGUGUCUAUGAAUUCCUGCCCUCACACGCAUUGAAUGCUUAUAGCCCCUUUAUCUGUGUGUUCAGGUAGCUUAAACUUUAGCCCAUACAAAGAAGGCUGGCUUUGUUUAAAAACGUUAAUCUUCAAUUCUUCUGACUCUUCUAGGAUAUUGAUUUGAAGGUUGUGUGACUAUGCAGGUACUUGGAGAUGAAAGAAUGAAUUUUAUUUUGAUUGAUGGUACAUGGAGCAAUUCCCAAGCAAUGUUCAAGCGUUUAAAGGUAAACCAGAAAUACAAUUGGGAUCUGACCUCCUUUUAUUUUCUAUUACACGUCCAUGGGGCUAUGACUAAGCAUUCUUGUCUCAGAUGGGAGACAAGAAAAAGGAAAAGAGGAAAGAAAUCUAGUGGAGCAACCACAAGUUCAUUGUCUUGUAGGUUAUAUAUUUUUCUUGAGUUAAGUUAUACAGAUAUAAGCAUUUGCGUUUUCACUUUGAAAUGGAAAGGUUCCUAGUAAAUAGUUCAUUUACAACAACAGUAAGAAUUAAACGCUUUGACAUCUGGAAGUGCCCUGAAACUCUUCUGCAAUAUGUAGUUUUGAAAUCCCAUCAUUCCUUUGGUGGACAUAAAUGGAUAGAGGUUAUGAAUUACCUUCUAAGUAAGCAAAUUUGUUUCCUGUUACACCAGUCAAGUUAUAAAUACGACGCAAGCAAGUACACAUGAAAUGUUGAAUCUUACAAGAAAGAAAAGUAGUUCUUCUCUGAAUGAAUUAGUUACAAGUUUUUGUCAUGCUUCUCUUCAAUACAUAUAUAUCUUCAUUUUUGUUGUGGAUAUACUUUGUGGAUUUUGUAGAUUGUAUCACACUCGACUGGCUUCGCUUGUUUGUUUUGUAAUACCCAAUGUAUAUUUACGAAUCUGACUCUUGUUUUCAAGUUAUUGACACAUGCGGUAUUUGAACUAUGCCUAAGAGUGUUUAUGGGUAUCAAAUAUCAGACACAUCUCAAGCAAAAAAUCAGUUUGAGGAUUGUGUUUUUCCAAUUUCAUGCUGCAUUGCAAAAGAUGAGUGUCGUAUGGAUCAGUCUAGUGAUGUAAUAGUGUAUCCUACUCAACAUUUACCUUGAACAUUGAUGUGCAGGAUAAAGCACAGGUAGUUUGGGGAGAAGACCUUCCUUGCAUCUCUCUGAAUGCAGGGGUAUCUCUAAUGCACAAACUGAGGCAAGAUUCUUCAUGAAAAUGCUCAUCUCUUGAUAUAUUUGACUUGCAUGCUUUAAUAGUUUAUUCUUAUUUGCCAAUUUAAUGCCACCGCGAUUAAGGUUCAAUUUCUUUCUUUGUCUGAGAGCAGACCGCAACCCUCAUGGGACCGUACCUGCACAGCAGCAGCAGCAGUUGGUCUCCUUUAUGAGCUUCAUCUUGUUCCUGAGUUCAGCUCUCAUGGACUGGAUAGUCAGGCUGAAGCUAUCGAAGAUGCUUUAGAGAUUCUGUUUGAAUCACUUACAGCUCGAAGACUUCGUAUGGGGAGGUCCAUCAGCCGUAAGGAGAGACAUUACAGCAACCUCUGCUAGAAACAAGCAUUUCUUCCACAAUUUUGGCGGAGACUUUUUUCCUUCAAUUGAGGCAGCGCCUGCAUACUAACUGAUUAGGUUAGAAGAGGUGAGAUCCUUGCUAAUUUCUAGUAUUACAGAAAGGAAAUACAAAGUGACUGAGAUCAAAGAACUUUGGUGGCCGGGCUCUGAUUUUAUCAGACUAUACAGAUUCAGAUUUUUUUGCACAAUGUUUUGAUGCUGAAAUUUCAGACACGUUUUUGGACAUAUGCCAGAUGGUUGUGAUGCAAUGCUAAGUACCUGGACGCAAAGCGGAUGAUCGAAAAAAUACGGUAUUCGCUUUUCCCACAUUUUGAACUUGAAAGCAAGCUAUUUAUUAUGCUUUGAUGUCUUAAGAGGAACCAUUUUGCUUGUAUGUAUAAUGUAUUUCAAUUCUGAACUCACUGAUGUACGUUUUCGUGAUUAUAUCUCAAGAAUUUAGUUUCUUGAACUAGUCCUUUAUUUUGCUGUCCUGCUGCUCUUAGUCUUACGGAUUAAAAGACUGAUAGACAGAAUUAAUGUAUUAUUGGCUCUGAAUAAUAAAGUGAAGUUAAUUAUGGAGUUUGGGUUACAGAUGGAUGGAAGAAAUGGUGGCCUGUGUUUCCUUUCAUUAUCAAACUGUUUGUUAACAAGCGAGACAAAAUAGUUCAUGUAUGCUAAAAGUUCAGUGGAGUUUAUAUCCAAAUUUUGCCUAUGCAUUGGGGUAUCUUGUGAAGUUUGCCAGAUGUGCACCAAAAAGUGGUAAAAUGACAACAUAUAAAUGUCAAUUGAUACAAAAAUUUAGGAUCAAAUUAUGAUUAAUGGAUACUAAUACUAGUGUAGGGAUGAAUAAGGAAAUGAAAACUGUCCAAUAAUACAUGAUCAGUAUAAUGUUGUCCACUACUAUGUUUUUAGGAAAUUAAUCGAAGUUAUUUAUAAAAUUGGGAUGGUGUAUUAAUACAAACAAACUUCAUUACCAUGAAUAUCAUCUACCUUAAAACUUUCGCUAUGCAUUCGUCUAACAAUUCACCACCAUCACCUCUUAUUAACCUUGAAUUGCACCAUUAAUUUAUUUCAAUUUGAGGUUGAUUGGGAGAAGGGAUUGGUUAGCUCGUUCGAAAAGAAGGGAUCUAAGUGAAAGAUUGCGAAUUCAAGUCCUUCCACUUACACUAAAGAAAGAUAAAAUUGAGGAUAAUAAGCAUAAGAACGUAGAAGGAUAACAAAGUAUAUAAUAAAAGUUGAAAUUUUGUGAUGCAUUGGUACAAAUUUGUAUUAGCACAAGACUUGCAUAGAGUUUCGAAAUUAAACUUUCAAACUAAGGCUAAUGGGCAUAAGAUAAUUCUAAAAUAUGCCUAAUUUAUCAUCAAUCAUGCAUACUAAUAAUAAAAGAACUUGUAUAAAAUGUAUUGAAAUUAUAUAUUUAUGUGACACUACUAUAAGCUGUUUACCUAUAUAAGAAUUGCCGAAACGAAUAUCAAAUUGAGGUUAAAAAAUAUAUACAUAAUUUAUUGUAACUGAUGCAUAAAAGAGUGAUGCAAAAAUGGAUUGAAAAUAUUAUAAACUGGCACGAAAAUCAAAAUGUCAAUAUGAUCCUUGUUUAGAAGUUUUUCACCAAAUAAAGCAAAAGAGGGAUUCCCCACGUAUCCAACAACUAAUAUACUUCUUUGCUACUGCCAAACAAGGUUCCUCCUCCAUCCAUCCAUUCAUCCCCUUCCAUCCCUUCUCCGCUUCUCUCUCUUCCAUUUUCCUGCCAUUUUUUUACUUUCCACAAAAAUGACACCCCUACAGAUGCAGGCAGCUGCCACAUUCCAACAUUUUCUCGUCUCUUUCUUUUUCACCAUUUUCAUAACAAGACUGGACAAAACUGAUCAUUGAAAAGAAGAGAAACAAUGGGGUCUAAUCCAUCUCUAAUGUUGUUUCUCUUCUUUCUUCUUGUUGGAUUGGCCUCUUCAUCCUACAUUUCAAGUGAGAAUUGUUAUGGCAUUUAUGUGUACCAUGUUGAUUUUUUUUUUUCUAAUCUAAUUUCUGUUUAAUCUAUCUGAAACUUUCGUUCUAUGUUAGAUCAUGCAUUGGAGCCUAGCGGAUUGAGAGGUCGUACCCUUCUUCAAGCAAAAGCAUGUGAGAUUCUUUCUCUUCUUUAUUCAUUUUUGCGUCCUGGAUAUUGUUGGGAAUGAAGAAAUAAAUUAAGUUUCAAAAUCAUAUUCAUCUUUGCCACAAUUUCAUGGUUGUUCCUUGUGAGGGCAUCCUUGAUUAAAUUUUUUUUUUUUGACAUCUUAAAAUUUAGAUUUCUGAAUCCCAAAAUUAUUCCUUUGUUAUAUCCUUCUGAAUGUUAGUUAAAUCUACAGAAUUUCUUAGUCCUCCUAAAUUAUGAACAAUAAAGCUAAUACUCCGACAUGUUAUCCAUGGAUUUAGCUUCAAUCUUGCAUUUCUUUCACUUAGGUAAAUCAUUCCAACAAAUUAACUCAUAUGCUGCCUACAUUCUUUUCAUUAUUUAUGUUUAAAAGAAUCCAACUAGGUUUGGUUACAUGUGGAGAAACAAUUAAGUUUAUGUUAAAAAAAUUCAUAAUAUCAGAAAAAAAAAUUCAUAAGCAUAUGAAUGGAGUUAACUGCAUGAACAGAAAAAUUACCAUUUUAGUGAUCUAUCCAAGUUUCUUCGAGAUUGACAUAAUUCAAGUUGUUUUUCCGUGCCUAAAGAACCAUAGGUGGUCAUUUCUACAUGCCCUUAUCAGGAAAACAAAAGAGAAAAGGAAAGUUUAAUUUGAUAGAUAAGCCUUCCAUUCUACAAGAAUUAUUGAACACUGAAAAUUCUUGGAAAAUGUAUGCUAAAAGUUUCUGCAAUCGUGAAACUUUUCAGCUUGCCCUGUAAACUUUGAAGCUCAGAACUACACAAUCAUCACUAGCCAAUGCAAAGGGCCGAAUUACUCUCCAAAACUCUGCUGCGAUGCCUUCAAGGAAUUCGCCUGCCCUUUUGCUGAUCAAGUGAAUGACAUGAAAAACGAUUGUGCAUCAACCAUGUUCAGUUACAUUAACAUGUAUGGACAUUAUCCUCCUGGACUUUUUGCGAAUUUUUGCAAGGAUGGCGCCCAGGGCCUUGAAUGUGCAUCUGCAGAAGCAGAAAGUCCCAAGAAAAAUGGGGCGCUGAAAACUGCUCAAUCAACUGUGCUGGUGCUGGCAGCUGGUUUCUUGACGUUUUUGUUGAAUGCCUUCUAAAACUCAAGAACAGAAAUCGAAAAUGCGCACCUUCUAAUUACUAGUUCAGACAUUGAUAUCCUCCGAGUUUAUAUAUAAGUAAUAUUUAUCUUGAGAUUGUAACGUUUUUUGUGCUCUGAUCAUUCUCUUGGACAAUAUUGAGCCUAAUUCGUUCUGCUAGAAGCAUAUGGUUCUUCAGAUUUUUGAAUGACAUGCUAUUUUUGAUGCCUUAUGUGAUCUCUAAUGACAAACACAAAUUCUAGUGUUUUCUUUAAUAUUAAAUUAAUUAAACAAUUUAGUAGAUGAGGGACAGUGGUACAAUUAUAUUAUCAUUUCUCUCUUCUAAUAUCACUUUUUAAUUGUUUGUUGGAUCUAAAUGUUAUAAAAUAAUAAAUUUUAAGGGAGGUUAAUAUAAUUUUUAAAACUUGAAGGGAGGGCAGUGAAAUAGUCAAAAACCUCAAGGGAGGUUCCCUCUCUUUUGAACAAAACAAAAAUCUCAAGUUUUUCCUUUUUUUUCCUCUCUUGAACAAAACAAAAAUCAUCAAAAAAUUAAAAACUGUAUGUAGUCUUCAAGCUAAACAUACAAAGAUGAAAUUAAAAAUUUGGCUUCUCAUUUUUGCAUUGAGAUUAUAAUUCCCUCCCAGCCAAAAUCCUUUUUUUAAAAAAAAGAAAAUUUUAAGGCCGUCCAAAUAGCAUAAAAUUUAGAGCCGAUCGUCCCCGUCACAAUUCAUUCACCAGCAACUUGCGCCAGCCACCGCCGUUAUUAGUCACCGUCCCUCCAAUCACGUCAAGGAAGCAAACAAAAAUGUUACUAUAACCUAUUAUUUUCAAACUUCUUCUCCCACUUGAUUCUUGAUUUUUCUUUCUCUCUAUUUUUUUUUCCCUUUCGUGAUUAAAUUUCAUUAUGUAGUAAUUAUUACAGACAAUUAAAUAUUCGAGGAAUAUUGUUGCUCAAUGCAUUUACUUUAUUUGAUUGUGUAAUUCAUUAUAGGUUCUAUGUAUAUGUUUGUCGAUUUUAUAGUUGCAACUUCUUUUUUUUUUUCUUUUUUGUUUUAAGUGAAAAGUUUUGAUUUCAAACAUCUCAACUUAUCGUCUCUUUCGACUCAUUAUCUGACUCAAUUCUCCAUUUAUAUCAUGUUAAGGCCACUAUUGUAUAGGCUAUAUAUAACUUAUCAGUAGUUAUGAUUAAGUUCGGAACAUGAACAUAAUAUGUCAAGUUGUAAAACAAAAAUACUUGUCCAGUUGAAUUUCAGAGAAAAUUAAGUCUAAGGUGACAUUUGUUACAUAAAUAAAAAAUUUUGGCUUUACAGAAUUUAUUUCCACAAUAUCUAUAGCCAAAGAACAAGGAAAAAAACAAGUUGCAAUUGUAAUUUUAAUUAGUUAAUCCAAUUGGCUGAUCACGCACACAACAUAUGGCUCUUAAAUUUCCCAAACAUGAUGAUUUCUCCAACUAAUGCUACUUAUUGUAAUUCCUUCAGGGUGCAAGAGCAUGAGUGUUGCCUGUGUUGUUAGCUAUGCCAUCUUGAUCUAUUAGUAACAGAUAACAUGUUAUGCAGGUCAUUGAUGGUUUCUUGAUUCUUUUAGUACAUUGGUCGGACUAGGAAAAGGGAGAGGGAUUGAGAAGGUAUCAGACAGAAAAUCCCAGUAAAGCAAACAGCAAAAGUUCCUUAAAGCAACAUCAUUGCUCACAAAACAACAGCCAUGAAAGUUCAACCUCUGUCCCCCUAAACGAGGAAAAUGAAGACAUAAUGUGGACAACAAACAAAAUUACGCAUAUACUAUUGGCUGUGGCCAAUGCCAGUUAAAGAAUCGUGUCAGCGUAUCAUUGGUAGGUUCAAUAUAUAAUUUCUUGGAUGAAAGGUGUUUGGCGAAUAAAUUAUUUCACUGUUUUACCCAUCUUUCUGUCUCAUGAUUUCGAGUCAAGUUGAAAAUUUUGACAAAUUUGUGUGUGUGGUUGCACGUACAAUGACAGGUCUUUGUCUUUCUGACUCCCAACCAAGUCAUCUUGAAUAAUUUACCUAUGUUCCAUUCAACCUCAAUUGAUGCCAUUGAUCUCUUUCUUGAUUUUUUUGUUCAUGUUUUGGGCCUUUCCUUCGACCUAAGGUGCUUGGAUUUGUCGGUGUUUGGCGGAUAUUUUAGUGUAGCAUCAGAAAGUAUAUUAUAUGCCAGCUAUGGAUGUGCUAAUGAGGCUUCCCAAUUAGAGAUUCUUCAAAUUAAAUGCAAGUGUCUCACUUCUUUUAUCAUAGCUACAAUGACAGAUUAGUCAGAUUUUAAGUGCAUACUUGAUCAUAUGCCAAAAAUGAAGGGUGAUAUACCACCCUAACGUACUACAAUGACAGUUGGAAAGGUUUUCUGAAACAACAACACGAUAUAAUACUUUGAAUAAAUCUUAUAUACACUGAUAAUGUAUACACUAUCACGAUUGGAUACAUGAUAUAUAUGAAAAUUUUGAAUUUCAAUUCAAAUUUGAAUUAUGUGUCAUGCAUUCAACGGUGAAAGUGUAUAUACUAUCAGCGUGUAGAAAAUUAGUUCUACUACUUUUGUGAUGUACUAUAUGUGAAAUAAAAAAAUAAAUAAAAACAUAAAAGGUAAAUUAAAAAACGUAUAUAUGAUGCAAUCGAAUAAUGUCUUCUAAAUCAUAUGUAAUACAGGGGAAUUGGAGUCUGAAAUGAGAACAUAAUUGAAUUUGGAACAAUGAUACCACAGCCUUGAUUGUCGGUGUUCGGUGGAUAUUUUAGUGUAGCAUCAGAAAGUAUAUUAUAUGCCAGCUAUAGAUGUGCUCAUAAGGCUUGCCAAUUAGAGAUUCUUCAGAUUAAACGCAAGUGUCACACAUCUUUUAUCAUAGCUACAAUGACAGAUUAGUCAGAUUUUAAGUGCAUACUUAGUCAUAUGCCAAAAAUGAAGCGUGACAUAUCACCUAAUGUACUACAAUGACAGUAGAUAGUAUGUUUGGAAAGAGGAUUAUUUGGAAAAGUUUUUUGAAACAACAAUAUAAUAUUUUGAGUAAAUCUUAUAUACGCUAAUAGUGCGGACACUAUCAUGAUUGAAUACACUACAUAUAUAUAAAAAUUGAGUUUCAAAUUCAAAUUCAAAUUCAAAUUAUAUGUCUGACAUCCAAUAAUGAAAGUGUAUACACUAUCAGUGUAUAAAAGAUUAAUUCUACUACUUUUGUGAUAGUGUAUGUGAGAUAAAAAAAAUAAAUUAAAAAACGUGCAUAUGAUGCAAUCAAAUAAUGUCUUGUAAAUCAUCUGUAAUACAGGGGAUUUGGAGUCUGAAAUGAUAACAUAAUUGAAUUUGGAACAAUGAUACCACAGCCCUGAUUGCGGAAUAUGUUUGCUGCCUUUCCCAGAUGCUGAGAAUAUCCCCAUACAAGAAGACGAAAGGGCAUUCUACAGUUGCAUCCAAAUCUAAACAUGACUUUUGCAGAAAAGUGUGCGGGAACAGAUCUCAAACUACAUAUUCACCUGCAUAACAAGAUGGCGUAGGGCUUCUGCAAAAUGUUUUAUAUGUCAUAGUACAACUCAUCAUUAAUUUUUUUUAAAAUCAUAAUAAGUACGUCAAAUUAUUGUAGUCCAACGGUGUAUUAAGGUCAAUAAUCUCUGCUGAUUAAACAAAUAGUGAUGCAUCACCGUAAUCACAUUUAUAAUGCUAUCAUCCUGUCCACAUCCUGUCCAUAACCAUCAAACAUUUUUCCCCUAGGACAAGUCUAUUAAAUAAUAUUGAAUGUCCUGAGUAUUUGUACCGGUUGUUGAGCCAAUAAUUACUGCUAGAACUAGUAUAAACAGUAGUAUAAAAGUGCACAAAAUUGAAGAAAAGAGAAAGUAUAAAUGGGGCAAUAUUACUAAUAUUUCAAUCAAUUUGCCAGAACUAGCUGAUUACAAUACAAGCAGAGACAGCAAUAUCAUGAGAAAAGCCCACCAGUUGCAACAAAACCUUAACAAAGAAACCAUCAAUUUUUGUUUUCUUUUUCCUUCAUAGUCAGCCCCACCCAAAAAAAAAAAGGGAAGAGAAAGAAGAAACAGAGAGUUGUUCUGUUUUUCUUCCCAUUGUCUAUGC
rnacentral:lncRNA from 1 species